CUCUCUCUCUCUAGUCGCUCUCACCUCUCUCUAAAAAACAAGUUUUCAUCAGAGUUAUAAUCACCGGUGGCCGGUGGCCUUUGCCACCGGUUACCAUCUUUUAAUUUUGUUUUUUUUUUGUUUAUAAAUAUUUCGAUCUACGAAUCGAAUAAGUCUUCGCAUAGGCGACUUUACUUUCGCAAGGCGAUGUCUUUUGUUGUGUUUUUCAAUCCAAAUCAGAGCUUUUCUUAAAAUUUAUAUCUUUUAUCUCUGUUUAUUUGGAUUGUGUGAUAAAGUUUAGAUCUUUGUUUUGCUUUCUGCUUAGUUCUUAAUCCAUAUUCCGUUGGAUAUUGGGUUAGUAGACCUUUCUUCAUCGCCCACUUUGAAGCCCUACAAUGAGAAUCAGUCUUCGUUUUCAGAUUAGCCGUUCAUGGCAUAAAUCGAAGCAACUCUGAUGGAAGGCAUGACGAGUUUAUAGGAUUCUCUAAAUCAUGUGUGAAGAAGAUUCAGAAGAGUUGGCGUCUUAUGGCGGUCCGACAAGAGUCUCACUUCCUCUUGAUUUGGUUUUCCUCUGAUUCAACUCCGGUGAUUGAAGGGUUCUCUGCUCACGUAGUUUCGCGGUGGAAAGUAGAAAGCUUUCAUAUUUGGUGUCAGAGUUCUCUGUAUGAAGCAUCUUUGCUGCUUACGGUGAAUAUUUACGGAGGAGAGAUAGAGCACGAGAGGCGUCUUCGGGAAGCAAGUGGUGGUUUGGUUCGGCGGUGCGGCCAAGUUUGCCGCCCAACGCAUGAAGGACGCGUGUCGCAGAGACGUGGCGUUAAAGAGAACCGUAGCACGAGCACUCUCUGGAUGUUUCUCCAUUUGGGCUAUUUCUAAUGUCUUAAAUGAGCUUUCUCUUUUGUUGUAAAAGUCUGAUACCAAAUGUAAUUGUCUAAUGGACUCAAUAUAAUGAAACUUUGUUGACAAAAAAAAAAAGAAGAUAAUAUUGUUUCUAAUAUUUAAAUACAUUAUAGUUAAAAUACUCACUUCAUGCAAAGCGUGGAUUAUCAUGGACCGAGCUUGCCAUGAAUUUGCCACGAAUUUGCUACAAAACGCAAAUCGUAGCAAACAGUAUCAUAUGGUAUUCUGAAACCUCGGUUUACUGCAUACAAUAUUAAUUUGUUUCAUUUCACGUAAUUUUUUUUUGAUAAUAAUAAAACUAAACUAUCAUUUCACGUAAUUAGAUUUUUGUUGUUAGUCAAAUCUAAUUCGGUUCAAAUUAAUAUUGGUUUUGUUUUAUCUAAGUUUUCUUAGAUGGUUUUCGUACAAAAUGUUUGGUUUACGUAGCUUGGUACAGUUAGGUUCAAAAGGAAACGAAAAACCACAAUUUGUCAAAGUGAAUCAGUUGAAGAUAUACAAAAUAAUAUUGGAAAAGUAUAUAAGUUAACAAAAUAAUUUUGUAGCCAAAAUAACUAAAAAAUACGAAAAAUAAUAAAUAGGUCAAAAUAAAGUUAAAGACAAAAAGAAAUGGUGGUAUAACCAAAAAUAAAAUUAGAGUUAUUAUUAUAGUAAUAAUAAUUUAAUAAAAAUGAAUAAGGGUAAAUAUCCUUUUUGUAAAAGAACUUUUUAAAGAGGAUUUAUUUUUAAAAAGAUAUUAUAGACUUUUUGUUCAAGUAAUGAAAUAAAAUAUAGGGUAAAUUAACUUUUUUUUUUUAUAACUUUCAAAUUAAUAUCAACCAACAUUCAAGAAUAUCUCCCUUUUUUAUAUUCCAAUCGUAGAGGAAAAGGAAAUUACUUCCUGAGUUUUUGUUCAAAUAAUUGAUCAAUUAGGGUAUAAAAGGAUUUCUAUCGUCACAUAAUUUUUAUUACAAAACUUCAAUGACUUCACCGUCACUGCCUUUAGAAUUAGUAGAAGAUGUACUUUACAAAAUUCCGAUCGAAUCUUUGGUACGAUUCAAAUCCGUAAGCAAAGAUUGGCACGCUCUCAUCAAAGACAAGAGAUUCAUCUACAAGCUUUUGGAUCUCUCCCAUGAACGAUGCAUACUAGUCGGUCAUAAAGCAAUACAACUCUCCAGUAUGAAGAUCAAUAACGCUCCCUUAUGUGUACCAGCCCCAGAAAAGUUACACGAUUAUACCCUUAAAGCAAUCAUUCACUGUGACGGAUUAUUGCUAUGUAAGUGUGAUGAGGGAGGUGAGCAUGAUAAUGGUCGAAAGCUCGCAGUUUGGAAUCCGUUUGUGAGCCGACUCAAAUGGAUCGAACCCUCGACUUAUUACAAAUACUUUGAUGUCUUUGCUUUUGGAUACGACAGUGUAUCUCGUGACAACUACAAGAUCUUGAGGAUCGAUAUGGGGAUCAAAACUGAGAUAUAUGAGUUUAGAUCCAAACUCUGGAGAAGGGUUAGAGCUACUGUGGACGAAUACCAUAGACUGUGCCAAGCUAUGUCUAUGAAUGGGAACAUGUAUUGGGUUGCUCAAACAAAGAGUAAUGACUCCAAAAUAGAAUUCAUCCAAAGUUUUGAUUUUUCUACAGAAACAUUCAAGCCCAUAUGUGUUCCAGAGGAAACAGAUCGUUUUCAUGGGUUUACUGUUCAUAGAGUACUCUUGUCAGGUUACGGGGGAGAUAGGCUUUCUUUAUUACAACAACAUACACAUUUGAAGAUUGAGGUGUGGGUUACAAACAAGUUGACCGAUGGGGAUGUCUCGUGGAGCAACUAUUUCAACGUAACUCUCGCUCAUCUCCCAAUAUUACCCUACCGUAACGAUUGUCGUUUUCUGGCAUACUGCAUCCACAAGACCAAAAAGAUUAUGUUAUGGGUCGAGGAAGUAGAUUACAACGAGGCAUAUGUGUACACAGAUGUUUACGUAAUGGGUGAGGGUGAGAUAGACAAACAAGUUGAGGCCACAAUAACGCGUACAUUGCAUGAUCAAUCUUGUAAUCAUGUAUAUGUUCCAAGCCUAGUUCCAGUUCCAGAUUAAGAACAAGAGUGUACACAUAAAUGAGACUUGUGAGGAUUGCUUUUGGUAGAUUUCAGGCACGCUUAAUUUUAAGCUUGUCUUCUUCUGUUACGUAUUAAUACUAUGGAUUAAUAUUAUAUAAUUAAAUAUUUUAAUAAGUAGACUUUUGCAUAGCGUAUUGGCUCACACUUAUUGGAGAAUUUAGACCUGAUAUUGAGCUUUGUUUUUGUUUGGUCCAGAGUUGUUGUUUAUACAGUGAAGAUACAUUAUUAGUUUCACUUAGAGCAUCAUUAACGGGUUCUUAGGACGGAGCUCUUAGCGGAAUAUAAGAACCCAACUCUUAAGUUUUAACUGAAAAUGUUAAGAGUCGGCUCUUAAAUAUUUAAGAGCCGAGUUAAAAGUUAAGAGUCGGGUUCUUAUAUUUCGCUAAGAACCAUGUACUAAGAACCCUGCGUUAAUGAUGGUCUUAGUGUCAAAUUUUCACUAUACGUGAGCAAGCUCAUAUGAAUCAUGUUUUUAAACCAUGAUGAUUCCUUUAUCACACACGCUACGAAGUUGUAUUAUUCUCAAAAAUUUGUUGGGAAGGGCUUAGAUCCAAAGAUAUAUUCUUCCAGCUAAAUUAACAAAUUGUGAAUAGAAAAGAAGCAUCAAACAAAAUGUUAGAAGUGCAUAGAAGUGGUGUACCGAGUCCAGAGAUCGAUCUCACGAAACUUAGCGUUAACUGUAAUCUCCCAGUUUCAAGCUACCAAUCCAGGUGUACCUUCUUGAUAAGCAGGAAGCGUGGUGGCCAAGUAAUAGAAGAUACAAGCGGCGGUGUGAGUGCAAUAGAGCUAGACGAAUAUAAGCUUGACGAUUCUUGUGAAUAGGUAAUUGAUUCUUAUGUCUUAACGAAAUCAAAGAAUAUUAUAAACUUUACCUUGUAGAUGAUAUCCCAUGGCAUGCAAGCAAGAAAAUCAAUUAUAAAAGAUGAUUUUAAGUACCUACAAAAGUUGUUGUACACCAUGAAAAGUUAAACAAAAAACUCAUUCCUUUAAACAAACAGAGCUUAAAAACAGAGGAGGGGAGCAUUUUAAUACGAUGGAGCUGCUAUCUCUGUAAGCCACGUAGAAUGGUAGCACUAAUCCAACAUUGCGAUUAGUUAUCUACAUCUCAUGGAAACAUCAAGUCCUCAAACAUACUCCUGUCUAAUUCUUAUGAAGCUAAGGUUUCUGAUUACGGUCUAGCGCCUAUCAUUGGCUCCGCAUCUGCACCUAACCGUUUUGAUAGCUACCGUGCCCCUGAAGUCCCUGAUGCUAGCAAAAUCUCUCAAAAAGCUGAUGCUUACAGAAUUGGUGUCUUGAGACAACUUAUAUUAGAACUCAUAUUUAAACAUAUUGCAACAUGAACUUGUCAAGACAACCUGAUUACAAUCAUCAUAAUCAAAGAGAUCAUAGUCGGAGCUAUAUGUUUUAAACAUAUAAGCUAUAUGUUUUGAUAUAAUUGUAAUUUCAUGUGAUUCAUCUAAAUGAGCUUAAACCACUGUUUUAAUAUUUUGGUUUGUAUAAGGUUUGAAACAUUUAUGAACAAACUUAAACGAGUGAUUUUUUUUGUCAGCCAUGGAAUGUUCAAAACAAAAGAUUGGUAAGUUAAACCACGGUUAAGAACCUACAAACAAAAAAGUUUAGAAUUCUAACAUUUCAAACCGGUAAGAACCAAAAAUGAAUCGGCUUGGAGAGGCUCAAUGCCAAAACAGCCAUUAACUGGAAAAUGUUUAUUUGAUGUCUAUAACCACAAGUAAAUAGGAAUGUUCUUCUUAGACUAAGAUAUUUAUAAAAUAUAAAUUUUCAAAAUUGCUAAAAAGAGUUUCAAACUAUUACGAUUUCAUGAUAUAAUCAUAUAUUUAAUAUAUUAAGCAUUUUUUAUUUAAAAUUAAAGUUAGUGACUAAAACAUACUUUUUAAUAUUCUCUACUCUCACCUUUAGUAAGUAAUUAAACACCCCUGCGCCAAUAUUUAAAGGACACUAUUUUAAGCUAUACUCCAUCGUAACUUUUUUUUGGCAAUUUUCAUAUUUCUUGAAAGCAUUAAUUGGUUUUCCGUAGACAAAUUCCAAGAACAGAGUAGCUUAACAUUUUUUUAGAGUAGCAUAACAUGGUUAAAGAUUCUAACACAACAGUUGCAAGCGACUGAUAAACACACAGUUUACUCUAGUUCUCUGAUACAUCAUACAUCAAACAAGAAGCUCUACUCUUUGUAAGUGUUUUUUUAUUUUCAUAUCUUGUAAUUCAAUAAAUGCGAUGUUCCAUCAAGACCUUUCUCAAUGUAUCCCUUUGAGUACUAAGGUACAGUGAACUCUCUGUAUUUUGGUGGGUUUUCUUCAGACACAAGCUCUUUGAUUGGUCCGUAAACUGUUGAAUUCGGAAUCAUACUCGAGCUGAAAAAGCACGCUACUGAUAUCCUCGGUCCAACUUUGUUUGCAAGCACCCUAUGCUCCACACUUUUGAACUUGUCGUUCGUCAUCAACUACACAAACGUAAGAGUUAGAAACUAAUUCAGUGCAUCUCUCGCUAAAACCUUUGUUCUUUUGGGUGUGUGUGGUGUGUGUGACACACGAAGACCACCGUUUCGUGAAGCUCUUUUUGUCGUAAGAGAUUGUAAGUUAUUUAUAUAAACUUAUAAACUAUUAUAAUAACGAUUAAUGUCUAAUAAAGUUCAUACAUGCUUUAUAAAUCAUUAAUAAAAAUUCUAAAUUCAUCUACAAACUUAUUUAUCUUGUCUUAUCACAUGUUUUAAAUUAUUAUAAGAGGUUGUAAGUCAUUUAUACAAAAGCUUAUAUAUUAAUUUAUAAAAUCUAUUUUGAAAUUUCAUUUUAAAUUAAAUGAAAACUCACUUAAUUGAUAUUUUGCUUGGGUGUCUAUGAGUUUUUUAAAAAAAAUCAUUAUAAUUUGAUUUGUUAAUGGAUUUUCUGUUUUUGUUUAUUUUAUGAGUAAGAAAAUCAGUUAUAGAACCAAUUUGUAUCAGAACACAAAUGAUCUAAAUAUAUUGCAUAAAAUAAUUUAUGGUAAUUAAAUAUGUGAUUUAUAUAAAAUAUAUAUAAUGCUCAUAGAAUCAUUUUUAGUAAUCAAGUAUUUAUAAAAUAAAUAAUAAAUUUAAAAUUUAAUUUAUAGAAUUGAUAUAUUAGUUUUAUAGUCCUAUGUAAUUGGAUAUGAAUAUACAGAGAAUGUGUAACAAUCAUAUUGAUUUAUCUUUUAAAAUUAUUAAAGACAUAAAACUUUAGCUACAAACUAUUUAAAAGUCAAAAGUUAAAUACCAUAUACCUUCAAAACUUAAAGUAAUUUAUUGAAAACUGAAUUAUGAAUAUUAUAUAUAACUAAUCUUAGUACAAAUUUUAAAUACACAAUAUCAACAAUACAGUAUUUAAAAUAGUCAUAUUCAUCUCUUUCAAAAACAAUUAUUCUUAGAAAAAUAUUUAACAAAAAACGUAUAUUCCAAAUUUUAUGAUAAAAUAUCGUAAUGUGACAAAUUUAAAAUUGUGGACAUCCACCUAAUUACAUAAUAAAUAUACUAAAUUGGAUUAGCAACAAUAACACAACCUCAGUUAUUUAAAAUAUGAAUAAUGAAAUAUAUAAUGUAGACUUACAAAAAUAAAGUUAAAAAUACAAAGAGAUAAGAACUGGUCUGCUUGGGUUAAUAAUCUUAUUGCUGAAAGAAAAAUAAGAAAUGUUGUGGUAAUUUUUUUUAUAAAAUAAAAUUGUGUGGUAUAUGAUAAGAAGACGAUAUAAAAUAUUAGAUUUUCUUCUAAUUUUAUACUCCCUCCGUUUUUUUUAAUUACAGAUUCUAAAUUUUUCACACAUUUUAAUAAAACACAUUAAAAUUGCAUAAUUUUUUGUGUUUAUCUUUCUUCCAUAAUUUUAAACCAAUUAAAAAUUCAAUAAGUGAAAUUAAGUUUUAUAUAUAAUAAAAUAUGCAUUGAAAAUGUAAAAAAUAUAUCUUUUUGAAACAGAAUUUUUCUAUAGAAUAUGUAACUUUAAGAAACAGAGUAAGUAUAUUAUUGUAAUAAUGAAAAAUAGCUAAUUAAUAUUACGGAAAAGUUGGUUUUUUUGGUGUGUGUUAGGGCGGGGGAUCAUUAUCCGAGAUCCGGAUUUGAUCCGAGAUCCGAUCCGGAUCUGCUCCGAAAAUAGGGUAUCCGGGGAAUUAUUAUCCGAGAUCCGGAUUUGAUAGUAAAAUGUCGGAUCCAUCGAAUCCGGAUCCGGAUAUCCGGAUCCGAUUUUUUUAAAUAUAUUAAAUUUUAUUAAUAAUUAUAGUUAAUUUAUUAAUAUUAAUCCAUAAAAUUUGUUUUAUAAUAUUUAAUUUUAAAUAAUAUUAUAUGCAUAAAAAUAUAUUAUAUGCAUAAAUACGUUCAUAAAUGUUCAAAAAAUAUUUAAUAUAUGUAAUAUUUUUUGAUUUUUUUGUAUUUUAAAAAAUAUUUAUAUUUUUUAAUUAUUUUGACGGCUCUGGAUCCGAAUCCGGAUACUCGCGGGAUCAUGAUAUCUAUCUGGAUAUCCUAAACCCGGAUAUCCGCAAGGUACAGAUCCUAAUCUAGAUCUUGAAAUCACGGAACUGAUGGAUACGGAUUCGGAUCCAGGUACCCCGAAUAUCUCGGAUAUCCGGAUCCGUUUCAUGCCUAGUGUGUGUGACACACGAAGACCACCGUUUCGUGAAGCUCUUUUUUGUGGUAAUUUUUUUAUUUUUUUGUAAAAUAACAUUUAUGGUAUAUGAUAAGAGGAAUAUAUAAUCUCAUAUUUUCUUCUAAUUUUAUAUAUUAAUGUAUUAAUUAAAAACUACUAAUUAAUCUUUUUGAAAGAGUUUGGUCUUUUGGGUGUGAAGGGACACACGAAGACCGUUUCGUGAAGCUCAAAAUGUCCGUUUUGUUCACUCUUCACCUGCUUUUACGUUAUAAACCGUUCGAGUUCAGUUCCGUUCAAAACAAAUCAUGUUCUUAUUUGCAUAUAAAAGAUAACAGAAGCAUAAAAAAUAUUGCGUUAUUGAUUUUUUUUUUUCCGAUAUGCAACAAAGAAACGAAACGCAAAGAGUGUUUUUACGUGAAUGUCUUACAAAAUAGAUUGAAAAGUCUCUUAUUUAUACAGAAGCAUACAUACAACAAUAACAGAAACAUCUAAUCUUAAGAGUAAACCCGCCAAACAAUUCCAUAAACCAUACGAAAUAUAAAUACACCAUUUACAAAAUAUUUUAGUUUGCACCAUAGCUUUACUGAAGCAAUAGAAAAUGUAAUCACCAAUUUUGAAGCUAAGUAAGCAAGACAGCAAUAACUUAGUUCGGAAACCAUAUAAUACCUACAGAAGAAUAGAGCUUCAAAGCUGCAAAUCUCAAACCCAUGUGAGGCUUCUGACUAAGACUCUCCAGUAAACCCAUCAAGUCAGGAAUUUUCCAAACAGAAUACCUUGACUGAGGCCAUUUCAACAUUGCAGUACUUAAAAGAGAAGCCAUCUCCUGAAACCUUUCCACUGACACAUUCCCUACAUAAAAGUUCUGCAGAUUACCAACGAUGGAAACCACAGUUUUCCCCUCUUCUAAUAUCCUCCACACUUCUUUCUCCUUCGUUUCUCUUACGUUUGCAAGAAUCGUGUUGAAAGCAACAACACAAGGAAGGGAGACUUCCGUUUGCUGAACACUCAACAGAGGUGACAAAGACUCCAUAAGAUUCAAAGAAUACGGUUGCAGGAGAGAAGGAGCAACAAUGCGGAGCAACUUAAUGAGGACAUUGGCUGCUAAAUCCACCACAGCUCUGUUUUUAUACCCUAGAAUAAACACCAAGGCCCUAGCUAUGUCAGAUAUUGAAUCCUAAGCAGCAAAAGAGAAACAAAAAGAAGUUUCAAGCUGAUAAAUUUUUUAUGAAAAUUAAGAAAAAAAAAAAACACAUACUGAUCAAACCAAAGUUGUGCAAUACAUAGAAACAUAAACCUAUGUAAUUCGGUCGGGAUUACUAAACAGAAGCAGCACUUUUGCUACAACGCCAUUCUGCAUAACUGCACAAACUCAGUAUCAGUUUUGGGCUACUUACUAAACCAACACUAAUCGACCACCAAAAGGUAACCAUAUAGUUAACAAUUUUUAUAUUUAUUAUGAAAAAUACCAGACACAAGAAACAGAGUAAACGAUAUCCUGGUUUAGAAACAACAGAGACCAGGGACAACGCUCAUUAAAAGUUUUAUUUUAUUGUUCCAAAAGACAUUGUAUUUUUUUUUUUUUACAGAAAAUACAAAAAGAAUGCAAGAUGAUAAGAUUAAACUUUAUUGUGGGAACAUAAGUUGGCAAUCAGAGAAUCAACACACUGUGCGCGUCGGACGCGGUAGAUAGUGAUUUUGCAAGCCAUUCUGAGCUUUUAGAGGUAGCAAGUUCAAACCUAGGAGGGAGAUAGUGAGGAGCGGCUAGGAGAACAUUGUAACCUAUGAUAUAUAAACUGUCCGAUGGUUGGAUUAAAUCAGUAAGUUUUGAGAUACGGACUGAGAGUACUAUCACCGUUAUUUCCUUUGGAUUGAUGUAAAGGUUUGUCCGCUGUCCAUAAAAGAAUGUCCAUCACCAUCCAGUUAGACCUCUUAUGAUCAUCUGAAACUACAUAUAUCAACAAUGGAAGCUGUCAAUUUAACAAGUAAGAAAAGAGAGACAGAGAGAAAGUGUUAAAAGAAAAUUUAACUUCGUCAAGGAAGGUGAUUCCGUUUUCCUUAUAUUCUCGCACCAAAUGAUCAGAUAAGUGUUGCUUUUUAACAUAAGCCCAGAUUGUCAAGUCAUCGGUGUAACAAUCAUUGGCAACAAUACAUGUUUUGAUCUUCUCAUACACAUUCUUAGGAGGCAUAUCAAGAGGUACAGCGAACUCAUUGACAUCCCAGAAGACACGUGUUGCGGGUUUUGCUUCAAAAUCUGAAGGCCAAUCAGAUCUGUCGUUGAAUCUAGGACCGAGCAACCUCUUGGCAUUUGUCACCGGAGUUGUUCUGUUACCUUGAUCAUUAGCAAUGAUCUCAACACGUUCUCCUUCACCAGCCAUUGUUAAGAAGUAACGAAAACUUUAGAGAUUGCAAAAUACAAUUAAAAGAAAAAAGAGCAGAGGAGGAGUGCGUCUAUCUGCGCUCUAAGAAGUCUCUAUAUAUAUCUCUUGCUAGGUUUUAAUGUUUCCAAAAAAAAAAAAAAAGAAAAUAUCCAAUUUUACAAAAUGUUAUUGAAUUUAUAUUUUGGAAAAAAAAAAAGUAAAUAUCCAAUUUUACAAAAUGUUAUUGAAUUUAUAUUUUGGAAAAAAAAAAGUAAAUGUUAAAGACGGAAAGAGUCUUUUUAAUGUGAAUGUCUUACAAAAAUAGAUUACAAAAAGACCUACAAGAGAUAUAGGAAGUACCAUCAAGAAAUUGAAGUGAUGAGUUAAAGGCAGGGUAGUGGAGAGUUUGUGGUAAUAGUAUUUUACCUUGUGGAAGUUAUAAAUCAAAUCGAAUUCACACACCUAUAAAGACCAAAGAUAAAAAAAAAAAAAAAAAAAAUCUUAAGAAGUGGAAGCAGAGGUUGUGCCGGGUAGGUAGUUUAUUUAACUGACUCAGACCUUAGAUCAAUCGCAAGUAUAAUGCUGCUCCCAAAGAAAAGACAUGUAUCAAUUGCAACACACACAACCCAAAGCUUGACAUAAUCAAAACUCAUAUGCUUCAAAACCAUCUCAUACGUUAAUAAGAAUGACCAAAUCUCCAACUUUCCACUUAUUAAACAACUAUAUGGAUACAUAAACACACAUUGUUCUUGCCUAUCAAUCAUUAACAUAUAAUCAAGUCAUGGAACCAGACAUAUCCUAAGAAACAUCAAACUGGUCCCAAAAAAUCAUUUUCUUUAGUUUUUUCAGGCAAAGCAGAACCUGUAUAAUCGAAUUCAAGUGGAACCCAUCUGAUACAAGAUUUAAAGUACCUUCUAGAGUUGAUGACAAGACCGAGAUUCUUCCAUGGUUUGGCUUUACAAGUGUUCCUGGCUUUGGUCGGAACGGAGAAGCUUGGUCUGUACAGAGAAGGGCUUCGGAGUCUCGAGGAUGAUUUGUGAUUGAGAAUGACUUGUGGUUCGAUACAUUUGAGCUGACUCCAAACGAAACCGUUCUCUCGUGAAAGAUCAGAGACUUCACGUUUCUUCUCGGAAGCAAGCUUCUCGUACUCAAUCUUAAGUUUCCUCAUCUAUACUCUAUCGUAACUUUUUAUUUUUUGGCAAUUUUCAUAUUUCUUGAAAAGCAUUGAUUGGUUUUCCGUAGACAAAUUCCAAGAACAGAGUAGCUUAACAUUUUUUUAGAGUAGCAUAACAUGGUUUUAGUAAACUUGAGAUUGAACAGAAACUCAGCUCUCGAGAGGAAGAAGACGAUGAGAGGAUUUGGAAAUAUCAAUAAUGUUUCUGUUAAUUGUAAAGUUACAAGAUACAAGUGUUUAUAUACAAACCAUAAACUAUCCGGUACAAGCCGGUUAUGAAUAAACCACUAUCUAAAUGUGUAAAUCACAUCAUAUAUACAUGGUUAAAGAUUCUAACACAACAGUUGCAAGCGACUGAUAAACACACAGUUUACUCUAGUUCUCUGAUACAUCAUACAUCAAACAAGAAGCUCUACUCUUUGUAAGUGUUUUUUUAUUUUCAUAUCUUGUAAUUCAAUAAAUGCGAUGUUCCAUCAAGACCUUUCUCAAUGUAUCCCUUUGAGUACUAAGGUACAGUGAACUCUCUGUAUUUUGGUGGGUUUUCUUCAGACACAAGCUCUUUGAUUGGUCCGUAAACUGUUGAAUUCGGAAUCAUACUCGAGCUGAAAAAGCACGCUACUGAUAUCCUCGGUCCAACUUUGUUUGCAAGCACCCUAUGCUCCACACUUUUGAACUUGUCGUUCGUCAUCAACUACACAAACGUAAGAGUUAGAAACUAAUUCAGUGCAUCUCUCGCAAAAACCUUUGCUCUUUUGGGUGUGUGUGACACACGAAGACCACCGUUUCGUGAAGCUCUUUUUGUGUUAAGAGAUUGUAAGUUAUUUAUAUAAGCUUAUAAACUAUUAUAAUAACUAUUAAUGUUUAAUAAACUUCAUACUUGCUUUAUAAAUCAUUAAUAAAAAUUAUAAAUUUCCAAAAUAUAAAUUCAAUUACAUUUUCUAAAAAAAAAUGGAUAUUUACUUUUUUUUUUUUUUUGGAAACAUUAAAAACAAAAAGGAAAGACAUCCUAUUUAAAAACAAGGAUUUAGUGCAUCUUAAUAAUUAAUCUCACGAUAAAACCCUUUUUUUUUCUUUCUCUAGGUCUUCUUCUCUCUCGACCAAACGAUGGCGCCCCUAUCCCGUAAGACUUCUCUCACUUUCUCUUCCUCCAAAUUGUUUAUUGCAAUUUGAUUCUGUUUUAUAUGUUGGUUUGGUUUUUAUAGGGUUGCUUUUUUUCUGGGAUUUGUUGAGGAUUUCAAUGAUUUAAAACUAUAGUACAUCUUCUUGUUCAAAAUUUUUAUCUGUUGGUUUGUUUUGGGUAAACUAUUGUACGAUCUAAUAAAUUAUACUAGCCAUGAUGCUUCGUAUGGCUUAUGCCUUGGUUUGGUGAAACAUUGCAGUGCUUGACAUGCGUGAAAUAUGCGUCUUAUGGAACGUCGAGGAAUGCCCAAACUGAGACAAAAGAUUUCAGGGUGCGGUUAAUGCCUUCUUGGCUUAUACUGAUACCCAACCUUCGCCUGAGUUGAUGGAUGGGAUGCCGACCUUCCUAACCAAAGGUACAAUCUAAUUUUAACUACCCUCUUCACACUCUUUUCUCUUUUUAUAACUUGUUUAUGAUCUCUUUUUUCCAGGAGAUAAAGAUACAAUAGCUAAUGUACAUACUUCAUUCACACCUUACAGUACUUCUAGAGAUUUUGUUGGUCAACAAAUGUACUGUUUUAUUUUGGUUUGUCUUUGAAUGGGAAAUAUUCUGUUUUUAGCUACAAGCGUUGGUUAAUUCAAAUGAUGCUUCUUGUAUAAUAUUUGUUGUGAUAUGUUGUAUGAGAGCUGAGAUUUUCAUAAUUGUGUUGGUUUUAAUUAUAUAAAGAUGGAUCAUAUGCUUCUGAUUCGGCUUCUCUUCUUUUGGCAACCAGCUGGGAGCUGGAGAAUGUCAGUCAAGAAUUGUUAGCAGCUAAUGAUGCCAGAGUCAAGCAGAUGAUGCUAUAACGAGAUUGGCUGCUAUCCACGCAGAGAAAGUGGACCAUCUUGACAUCGGAGUUGAUACGGUUGAAGGCUUUGCUUGAGGAAACCAUCUCCAACAAGAAGCGGGAGAUACUUGUUUUGAAAAGAGAGGUUAAGGAGCUAGAGAUGAUCGUUGAGAGGCUUAAGGCUGACGAGCCAUUCGUGACCGCUGUUAUAUUAGAUCUUGAAAACAACUUGCACAUUUAUCCCACCCAAAAACGACUUGCAUAUACUUUUUUUGGUGUAAAUGUUAAGAUUCAUACCAAAGCUUUUCAAGUUUUUUACAGAAUUGUUGCACAAGCAACGUAUUUGAAGAAACAACAGAGAGGUUACAGGGAGAGAAGACAUAGAUUAAAGGAAAUUACUCAAGAAACAGCUGCUAGCUGUAGGGAUCGAUGAACCAGAAGUAUAACUGAAGGAGUGAGCACGCUUGAGGUCGCGUUGCCGGACAGCUCAGUAAGCGGUCACGAAUGGCUCGGUCCAUAGAUCACAAGGUCUUACUUCCGAAGCUAAUAGAACCGAACCAGUGUUUUCGCCACCUUGUUUGUUAUCACAUCACUUCGAGCUACCGUAGAUAUGUUUUCUUUUUUGGUUUCCAGAUCUAGUUUUAGGGUUAAAAAAAGAAAUUAAUCAUUUGAUUUAAUAGAGAAGAAGAUAGAAGAAUAAACAAGAAGAACGAAGAAAAAGAAAAACCGCAAAGAAGUAGAGAAGAAAAGAAAUUACAGAGAGGAUGAGAAGCAGAAAAAAUCACAGAGGAAGAGAGAAAAAAGAAGUCAGCCGUCGUAGAGAAGAAGAGAAAGAAAGAAAAAAAAAAGAAUUAAGUAAACAGAAAAUGAAUCACAAAUAUUUAGGGAUAGUUUUAGAGGGUAAAAAGGUAAUUAACUUAAUUUUCGCAUUAAAAAUAAUUCAAAACAAUAAUGAUUUUAGACGAGGUCCUGUGGAGAUUGUCAUAUGAGAUAAAGGGGUAUGAGAGGAGAUGAUUCCAAUCGUCUGAAGGUCUUACUUCCGAAGCUAAUAGAACCGAACCAGUGUGCUUUUGUGAAAGGGCGACUCAUGUUGGAGAAUGUACUUCUGGCCACUGAACUGGUCAAGAAUUACCACAAAGACUCGAUUGGAGCUCGUAGUGUACUGAAACUGGACAUAUCAAAAGCCUUUGACACGGUCCAAUAGUCAUUUAUUGAGGACACGCUUCGAGUGAUGCAUAUACUAGAGCAAUUUAUUCACUGGAUACAUGUCUGCCUGUCCACUGCUGCUUUUUCCAUAUCAGUACUCAAUGGUGAACUAGAGGGAUUCUUCCCUAGUGCGAGGGGCCUGAGACAAGGCUGCACCCUAUCUCCGUAUCUAUUUGUUAUCGCCAUUAAUGUACUCUCUCUGGCGCUAAACAAAUCUUCUGCAGCAGGUAAUAUCGGUUACCACCCAACUUGCGCUCAAAUCAAUCUUACUCAGUUGAGCUUCGCAGACGAUAUCAUGGUAUUCACUGAUGGUGAGCCUAGCUCCUUACAAGGCAUAUUCUCUGUCCUAAACGAGUUUGAGAGCUGGUCAGGUCUUGCUAUAAUCCCAGCCAAGUCGGCCAUUUACAUGGGAGGAACAGUUCACCAAUGCUUCCUUGAUGAGGUGAGCCGACUAAACCUCCCAAUUGAUACUCUUCCGACACAGUAUCUGGGUCUCCCCUCACGACCAAGUCAAUGACACGGGAUGACUAUGAACCUCUUAUAGAUCGUAUCCGAUCUAAAUUUAUUUCCUGGAUGAGCCGAUCCCUACCCUAUGCUGCGCGACUGCAACCCAUAAAUUCGGUGAUUGUAAGUACUACGAACUUUUGGAGCUCUGUUUUUAGGUUACCGAAGCGUUGUCUUGAAACGAUCGAGAUCAUGUGUAGUGCUUUUCUCUGGUCUGGCACGCCAACUCUAGCGGGAAAGCCAAAGUGGCAUGGGACGAAGUCUGUAUGCCUAAGGAAGAGGGUUUGGGAAUUUGACGGCUGGUUGAUUCAUCUAAAGUAUUUUCCCUGAGUCUGAUUUGGAGCCUUAUCACAAAUUCAGGAUCCCUUUGGGUAGCUUGGACUCGAACAAACCUAUUACAUAAUCAAUGUUUCUGGGAUGUAAAGGACACUCAAGCAGGCUCUUGGAUAUGGCGCAAACUUUUAAACUCCGCCAUCAAGCAGCUAUGUUCCUCAAGUCUGAAAUUGGUAACAGAAAGGAUACUCUGUUUUGGUUUGAUAAUUGGCUGAAUAUGGGAAAACUAAUUGACACUGCAGGUGACUCGGGUACCAUGUUGAUGGGUUUAAACAGAUAUGCCACAGUCGCCGACGUGGCCUCGUCUGGGCAAUGGAACAUCAGAAGAUGUCGCAGCUAUCACCUACGGGCGAUGAUAGCUGCCAUCAACUCUGUCCCACCCCAGGUAGAGGGCGCAGGCGGUGAUCGUGUGCUUUGGAAACAUGGAGAGGAUAACUACAAAUCUUAGUUCUCAUCAUCUAGAACAUGGGAUCAACUUCGAGUGCACGGAACUGCAGUUGAAUGGAGCAAAGUUAUAUGGUUCUCGGAAUCAAUCCCUCGGUUCUCGUUCAUGGUGUGGCCGACUGCGCGGAACAUGCUUUCAACAGAUGAUCGAACUCGAGCAUGGGGGAAAUCCAGGAUAGGCUGUGUGGCGAGCCUGAUGAAACCCGCGACCACCUCUUCUUCGCCUGCCUGUACUCUUAUACCGUCUGGACCGACCUCACUGGAUAUCUCCUUCCUCGGCCUAGCCCGGACUGGAACAUCACCAUGAACACACUGCUAUCUCCCCAACGUAACAAGGUUGACUCCUGCCUGCUUCGGCUGGCCUUUCAAGGAUCAGUCUACUUACUUUGGAGAAAACGCAAUAGACGAAGCAUAACAAUUCGUGGAACUCGCCGGCUCAGCUUGUGAAGUCGCUGGAUAGGACCAUACGAAACAGGAUCUCCUCCAUUCGACCAAGGAAUACUGAUUUUACUAGCUCUCUGAUGCAGAGAUGGCUUUGUAAGAAACUAAGUUAACGUAUUGCAUUUAAAACUUCAAAAUUUCCGUAUUGUAAACAUUUUUCUUUUGUUGAUAUAUAAAUUUAACAUUUCAACAAAAAAAAAAAAAAAAAAAAAUUUUUUGUUGAUAUAUAAAUUUAAAAUUUCAAAAAAAAAAAAAAAAAAAAAAUGAUAAAUUAUAUGAUUCUAUAUAUAUAUUAAUAACUCUAUAAAUUAAUAACUUUAUAUGAUUCAUUAUAUAUAUAAUAAACGAAAAAAGAAAGAAAAUAUGAUAACUUAGUUGACACUUGAAAGAAAUAAGUUAAGGAAAUAUAUUAAAAAUGGAAAUCUUAAGUGUCAAAUAAAAAAGCACAACUCGUAAAAAAAACACAAUAAAUUAUCAGAUCUCUAUAAAUAAAAAAAAUCAUGAGAAAUUAUCACAUCUUCAUUAAAAACACAAAAAAUUAUCAAAUUUCCAUAAAUAAAAAAAAAGAAAAAUAUCAGAUUAAUUCCAUUAAUAAUGCACAAUAAAUUAUAAAAUUUCCAUUUUUAAUAUAUUUUCUGUGCUUUUUUUUUUAUUUCUUUGUUUCUCAUAUACUAUUAUAUUUUCGAGAAAAAAGGUACUAUAUGUCAAGUAAUAUAUAUAUAAUACUCUCAUGCCUAACCCUAACAAAUUGCUUUAUAUUCUCUCUCUUGCUUCAAACGAUCUCAUCGCCAGCCCUAAUUUUUUUUUUUCUUUUUGAUUCUCUCGAGUUCUUCAUAUCUGAACCAUGCCAAGUGUCUGGGGUAAGAUAUUUUGUCUCUAGCUCUUGUCUCUCCAUCUCUGUCUCUUUCUUUCAGGUGAUAUCUAAUCGUCCAUAAUGUUUGUUUGUUUAUUUUGCGUGCAGGGAAGAGGACACACUUAUUGUGGAAAGCCGACGGAUGGCUCCCCGACAAGUAUGAGGAACCUGGUUUUACUUGUCUGUCUCUCGGUUUAUCUGUUUCAAGAAGGGGUUUUUCUAAUGAACAUAUUACAGUUUACGGUAACUCGGACAUAUUCUCGGAAGACUUGGAACAUGAGUAUUUCUUGCGUCCUGAAUGCGACUAUAUUUUAAGAUUUUCGAAAGAAGAGGCACAUCAAAUAAACUAUAUGAUGUUAGUGGAUGCUGUUUUAAUGGCUUCACACGAUGACGAUCACGUAUCCCCGUUGGUGAUCAUCACAAAAUUGGCACAAGACACAGAGAUGAUCUGUAGGGUGCUUGCUUCUUUGACAAGCAGAGGCUUCCCUGUUUUAUUUGCACUGCCUGAAGCACCACAAAGUAAUUUUGGAAUCACUGUAUCCUCCAAUGUGGUUCUUGGGCCUGAGAGAAUCCCAGUGUUGCUUUGUCCACACCUAUUUGACCUACUUGACCACCUAGAGCAUGAGGAAGAAGAUGAAGAUGUAAAGCAUAGCCAGAGAUAUUUUAUUGAGCUCCCACCUCCCGAUGCCCAUACCAAAAGUUUCUCCAUGCCUCAGGGUGUUGAAACAUGCGUCUUCUGGGAUGUCUCUGAUUACCCUCUCCCUCUCGGUCUACAACUCCCUGUGUUUUAUGAGAAUAUCUUUAUCAGCUGUUCGUGCUCUUGUUCCUUGUCCUUGUGGUGGUAUCUCAAUCUAUGCCUAUGUUGACAAUGACGAGUUUGACUAUGAAGAUGCCCGAGUCUUAAUCACCGUGGUACGCAAUUCUCCAGCCGACAAAUUUUCAAGAUUGGCUAAGAUGACAAUGGACUUUCUUUUGUGGUCAAUUGACAAUCCUGCUGAUCCUCACGGUACUAGAGGCCCUAAUUUGCUCUUAAUCUCGAAACUCUUGCAAGACGACGAAUUGAACUGCCUGCAUAAACUUGAUAAUUUGAGUACUAACGGUCACAAUGUUUUCUUGACAUCUGAAAAAAUCCCACGAAAAGUGAAUUAUGUUCAUUUAUUGUCUUGGCAAGACCUAUCAGCAGUUGGAAAGCUCAAGAGCAGAGAGGAUACUCAUUACUAAUUUUCUGUGUGGUUCUUUGUCUUGUUUUAACUCCAAACUGCUUAAUUUCUCUCUUUUCAAUGAAUGUUUACUUGGAUUCAAAUAAAAAAAAAACUUUUUUUUCAAUGAGUGUGACUUGUUUGAGUUUCUGUAAAGCCUUACAAAUAAGUUGACCGAUGGAGAUGUCUCGUGGAGCAAGUACUUUAACUCUCGAUGAUCUCCCAGUAUUACCCUCUCUUUUUUGGCAUACCGCAUCCACAAGACCAAAAAGACUAUGUUAUUAUGGGUUGAGGAAAUAGAUUUCCAAAAAUUUGAUUUCAAACCUAGAAGGCAGCAUCUAUAUGAACCAACACUAACUAGAGUAGGAUAUUUUUUUGUAGCCUGCACUUUAGAAUUUAGAAACUAUAAACUCUUAACACUGAAUAAAAAAUAUUAAAUGGGUCAUUUAAACCCCCAAGAGCCACUCUCAAAGACAACCCUAUGAGCUUCCACUUCACUGCAUGGCCAACAUCUCGUAAAAUAUCACUUCUUUUGACCAUCGUUUAUAUCAAAAGAAAUUAGAUGUACUAAAUCGAGAUUUCAUGAUUCUCCUGAUAAAGCUGUGUAGAAAACUAAACUAUAACUGGAAAAUUAUCAAUUUUGCUGCAAAAUUUAAAGGCAAUAAUAAUAGGAUCAUGAAAUCUCGAUUUGAAGUUGAAUCUCUGCAUAAUUUAAAAUCAAUAAUAGUAGUAGUAGCUCUCUCUCCACUGUUCAUGUCUCUAUCUUUGGUCUCUUUGAAAUAGGGUUCAAUCUAUCUUCUUUUACAAGCAAACUCCUAAAAGCAGAGCUUAAAGCAGAGGAUGUCACCAGUGAGGCUCUCAACAGAUUCAAAGCCUGAUUCUCAAAGUAAAAGAGAAUCAACAGUUUUGUCUUCUUAACUGGUCAAAAAAAAGAAAAGAAAAAGGGUUUUAGUUAUAUAUAAUACCUCUGCAUUGCUGAUGCUAAUGACUUGCACCUCAAGAUCAUCAGCUUGAAUCUUCAACUUCUUCAGUAAAUUAAAUGUUGAGCUAGACUUCUUAGGUGUAACGAUCAGAUAAUCUGACACCGUAAAUUUUGUCCCUCUCUUCACAAACCCAGUACCAUCUUUUGGCUUAUGAUCAGAUUUUGGAUCCACAAAAGUCAUGUAUUAUUUUUUGUGUUUUGUAUAAAAAAAAUGAUUAGUAAGCUUUUUUUUUUUUUAUACAAAAUGAUUAGUAAGCUUGUUAAAUGUUUUAUAUCUUUGCUGUUUUUUUAACUAGUGAUGGUUGUUUAUUUAAGUCGGAAUGAUAAAAGAUUCAUCUCAUUAAUAAUAAACUAAAACCUUCGAAAAGUCAGAAGCAUGAAAAUGGGAUUAAAGAAACAGGGGAAACAUGGUAGAAAUGGGUGGACAAUGUGGAUUAUUUUUUUUGGCAGAUGAUCGAUCAGCUUAGGAGGAUUGACAUUGAUUUGACUUUCUGUUUCUUCCUUUGGCUUCUUAGAAGUUGGGUUUCACAAACUGGUUCCUUCUUUGGCGUCUUUGCAAUCAAAUCGCCUAAAGCAGUGCUCAAAGCACAUGAAGUCACCAAUGAAGCUCUCAACAAAUCCACAGCCUGUUUCAUAAACACAGCACAGAUUUCAUCAAAAGUUGCAUUCCAACAAAGUGUAGAGAGAAGAAAUAUCCGGGAUAAAACUAAAAGCAUUACAUACCUCUCACCUCUUGCUGAUGCUGAUUUCUUGAGAAACAACUUCUUCUGCGUUAGUCUGCAACUUUAUCAAUGCCCAUAUCCACAGCACUUGUAUAGAGGUUAUUAAAACAGCCAACAGCUUUUUUAUGCUUCUUAAGCAAUUUGGUUAAUGUACCCAUUGGCAAAGUUAGAAAGCUGAAGAGAACAUCAACAAAAUCUUUACCGGCCUCAGCCAGAACAACCUUGUUCUUCUCUUCAUCGAUGACAAGUCUCAGAUAGACCUUUUGUAACAUCCCGGGCCCGGCCCAAAAGGAAACUCAAGUGCAGGAGGUCCAAGGAGAAGAAACCCUAGACAUAACCCCUCCCAUUGCUUAUAAAAGGAGAAGUUUCCCUAGGGUUCAGCCACAAGAGAGACAGCAAGCAAGCCCUGCCUGAGCAGAACCCCGCCGCCGCCUCCGUCUCAAGCCGCCGCCGCCUCCGUCUCAAGCCGCCGCCGCUCCAUCUCCGGCGAAGCCAGCCGCCAGCCGCCCGCGAAGCCCUAGCCGCCGCAACCGAGCUCCUAGCCGCCGCCUCCUUGAUUCAGUUUCGUGCAAGCAACUGAGAUCUGAACCCUAAAGGUAAAACUAAGAUCUCUAGCUCUAAGUCAUUGGAAAAUGACAGAUUCUAAACCCAUCUCUCUCUUGUGUGAGUCCGAUUCUCAAAUCAGAUCUCGAGAAGUGACUGUUCCCCAAACCUAGAUCCAGAUCUACUUCUGCAAAAAGCUAAGGUGAGGACUUGGCUGUGAACUUGCCUCAUGUUGAGUAACCAAUGGGACUUAGUCCUUUGUUAAUCAGUUCUAGAUAUUGUGUGUAUGUGUGAUGUGAUAUGUGAUUGAUCUUGUCUAGACGAUAGUACGUGUUGAAGUGAUAAGAACGUAGGCAUGUUACGGUGGUCAAGAAUAUGAUGAUAAGGUGUUGAGACGUGUUGUGAAUGAUAAGUGAAAGAUGUAAGAAUAAGUACGAAUAAGGGAUCAUAUAGAGAGUCUAAGGAAAGUAUGUGGGGUAGUAGUCCACGCUAGGUAUCCAUAGGAGAUGUGGCCAAUCCACAAGAAUAUGGAAGCACCCAUAGGAGAUGUGGCCAAUCCACAAGAAUAUGGAGUAGAAACCUAGUUGGGGCUACCCACUGAUGAAAAGGAAGAAAAGAUGAAAAGGAUGUGCAUUGUAGGGUCUUUAGUUCAUGUCGGGUAGUAUGGGUUUCUGUGUAAUAGAUCUUAUUAGCUCAUGACUUGUGAUUGUUUGUUCUUCCUGAGUUGAGCUCGUGGGUUCCUAGAACCUACCCUCACUGAGUAUUAUGUACUCACCCCUCUUUUUACAGGUAGGGCCGAGAGGGAGCGGGAGUAGAUGUCCGUAUGGUGCAAAUGUUUUCUCGAGUCUUUCAUUUAUGACUCCUUUCUUUCAACCAUUUCUUCUUAAGUUUUUAUUCGACAUUUCAGUUUUGUUAAGUUUGGUUUUAUGUAAGACAAAUUUGAGUUUUAAUAAGAGUUUUUGAACGAAAAAGUUUGGGGUAAAGCAUUUGAUAAGGUUCAUCGGGCCAAGGCCGUUACACCUUUGCUUCCCCAGAACUUUCAGCCAUUGUCGCCCUUUUGGAGGUAAGAAUAUGGAAAAGAGAGAAGAAAUACUUUAAAGAAUAAAGAGGAAGAAUAAAAAUAGUAACAACCCUUAGAGUUUCCCCAUUUAGAACAGUGUGGGGAAGCUAAUAUAAACAGUUUAAGACAGUCUUUAAGUAUGACAUUGAAUACCAGCAGCCCUUUAAUCUUCCCCCUUGUAGCGUGCACUUUAUAUUCAGAAACUUUUCAUUUAUACGUAUUAUUACACACCAGUAACCAAUUUUAUGAGUGUAUAAACUCUUAGAGCAUCUCCAAAAAGACACUCUAUUUUAGAGUUUCUAAAACUUCAUAUUUGAAGUUUAAAGGUAGUCUUCUCCUAAAUCAAAACUUCAAACUAAAUUUCAAAAGUAUUUAUAUUUUAUAUUAUAGUAUUUAUAUUUAUGAUACUUAAUUUAAAUUCAUACAAAUUUAAAAAUACAUAGCACAUAUAUAAAAAAAUUAUAGAAAUAUUAAUUAACAAAAUAAUUCAGUAAAAUAUAAAAUUUUACAUAGAAAUACCUAGUUAAAUAUUAAACUACAUGUAAAAUACCACAUUAAUGUAUAAAACUAUUUUUCGUAAUAUUUUCAGAUAUGAUCAAUUAGUGCAUUUGUUAAGUUUUUUUUAAUAUUAUUGUUAUCUAAAUCUAGUUUUGAAAAAUGCUUAUCUUAAAGUUUUUUUAAUUUUAUUUGUAAAAAUUAAAACUACAAAAGCAAAUUUGAAAUAUUUCUUAGUUAUAAAGUUUUUAAGGAUUAAAAAGAUAAAACGACAAAAUAUUUAAGAAUCAUAAAUGUAAUAUGUAAAUAUAAGGACCAAAAUGCAAUGAAAAAUAUGAAACUUCGAAUUUGAAGUUUUGAUUAGUGUCUCUCUAUAUUUAAAGUUUUAUUAUUCAAAAUUUGAAGUUUCUUUUUUUGAGAGCAAAAAACUUCAUAUUUGAAGUUAUAGAAAGUCUUUUAGAGAUGCUUUUAACACUGAAUAAAAAUAUUAACAAGUCAUUUAAACCCCCAAGAGGCCAAGAGCCACUCUUAAAGACAACCCUUUGAGCUUCCACUUCACUGCAUGGCCAACAUCUCGUAAAAUAUCACUUCUUUUAGCCAUCGUUUAUUUCAAAAGAAAUUAGAUGUGCUAAAUAGAGAUUUCAUGAUUCUCCUGAUAAAGCUGUGUAGAAAACUAUACUAUAAGUGGAAAAUUAGCAAUUUUGCUGCAAAAAUUUCAAAAGGAAAGGCAAUAAUAAUAGAAAAAACCAAGUCAAUGUGGUGGCAAGCAGAUGAAGUUUAAUCUCUGCAUAAUUUAAAAUCAAUAAUAGUAGUAGCAGCUCUCUCUCCACUGUUCAUGUCUCUAUCUUUAGUCUCUUUGAAAUAGGGUUCGAUCUAUCUUCCUUCAGAAGCAAACUCCUAAAAGCCGAGCUCAAAGCAGAGCAUGUCACCAGUGAAGCUUUCAACAGAUUCAAAGCCUAAUUUUUCAAAGUAACAGAGAAAAUCACAGUAUUGUCUUCUUAACUGGCCAAGAAAGAAAGGAAAAGGGUUUAGUUAGUUAUAUAUACCUCUGCACUGCUGAUGCUAAUUACUUGCACCUCCAUAUCAUCUGCUUGACCCUUCAACUUCUUCAGUAUACUAAAUGUUGAGUUAGACUUCUUAGCUGUAACGAUCAGAUCAUCUGUCACAGUAAACUUUGUCCCUCUCUUCACAAACCCAGUACCAUCUGUCAUCUGAUUUUGGAUCCACAAAAGUCAUGGGACGGCUACUAUAUGUUGUAGUCAAACUGAAGCUCUCAGAUAAAUAGUAAUAUAUGUAAAUUAUAUAUGAUAAUUAAGAAUAUAAACAUAAUUUAUUUUAUUGAUAUGAUCUUCAUAUUUAAAAUGUUGAUUUUAGUAAAUUAAUAUUUUAUUUCAAGUAGAAAGUUAUGUUUCAUUUUUAUCAAAUUAAAUAAAACAAAACUUUAACCUUUUUAAAAAUAUAUAUAUAUAUGUGCUACUAUUUAGUUAUUUAUAAUAUUAUGGAUUACAAAAUUUUAUUAUUUUUAUUGUAUAAAAACUAUUAUAAUGAUUGACUUAAUAUGUUUACUAAUUGUUUUAUAUAGUAAUAGAAAAAAAAAAGAAAAAAACUAUUUGAAAUAUGUUCAAAUUAUAUAAAAUUCAAUAUCUAGUCAAAUUAGUAAAAUAGCUUAAAAGAUAUAUAAAUUUAUGUUUUUUUGUAUAAAACCGAAUAAACAAAAAAUCGACAGUAUAUAAACUGAACCAAACUAAAUUGGUUUUAGUAUAGUAGAUACUUUUUAGAAACUGAAAUACUGAAAAACCAAAAAAAAUGGAACCAAACCGGACCCCUAGUAUUUGUGCAAAAAAUAUUAAAAGAGGGACGCCAACUUAAUUUCCACACAAAUGAAUUCUGGAGCAGAGAAAAGAACUCUAUGGGCUUACCACUUUCACUGGACUCUUUAGCCCUCGGGAACAGACAGCCCGUUGAGUGUCGACGCCGUUUUGCCUGGAGCUCCGUUCUUGUCAUGUAGAGCACUAGUCUUCAACUCUCCCUUGUCUCUCUCUAGGCCAGAAGAAAUGGUUGCUCACCGCUUAUUACCUUCAAGAAUCCUCCUUUGCUCCCGCGUUAAAACUACCCCUCACACUCGACUUAAACCUCUCAAAACCUUGUCAACAUCUCCCGAAUCCGAAACAACCUCAUCCUCCUCUGAUCCAUACUUGGUGGACAAACUAUGUUUCAGUUUAAACCAAGCUAAUAACAACAACAACUCAGCGACAGCGGCUUCUCUGCGUAACCACCUGAUUCGACUAAACCCUCUAUCCGUCGUCGAGGUUCUGUACCGUUGCCGCGACGACUUAACUCUAGCUCAAAGGUUCAUCCAACAAUUAAGUUUACACCUUCCCAAUUUCAAGCACACGUCUUUCUCUCUAAGCGCAAUCAUCCAUAUCCUAGUAAGGAGCGGAAGGCUAUCCGAUGCGCAGAGCUGUCUUCUCAGGAUGAUUAGGAGAAGUGGCGUCUCCAGAGCAGAGGUUGUGAGCUCAUUGGUUUCCACUUACAGUAACUGUGCCUCCAAUGAUUCCGUUUUCGAUUUGUUGAUUAGGACUUACGUUCAGGCUAGAAAGCUAAGAGAAGCUCACGAGGCUUUCACAUUGCUGAGAAGCAAAGGCUACACGGUCUCUAUAGAUGCGUGCAACGCUCUUUUAGGAAGCUUGGUGAGGCUCGGGUGGGUUGAAUUGGCUUGGGGUGUUUAUCACGACAUUUCUCCGAGUGGAAUUAAUGUCUACACUCUCAAUAUAAUGGUUAAUGCGUUGUGCAAAGACGGUCAAAUGGAUAAAGUCGGAUCCUUUUUAUCGCAAGUGCAAGAGAAGAUGGGUGUUUAUCCUGAUAUCGUUACCUACAACACGUUGAUUAGCGCUUACUCUAGUAAAGGCUUUAUGGAAGAGGCGUUUGAGUUGAUGGACGCUAUGCCCAGCAAAGGGUUUAGUCCUGGUGUUUAUACUUACAACACUGUGAUUAAUGGUCUCUGUAAGCAUCGGAGAUACGAGAGAGCUAAGGAGGUUUUCGCUGAGAUGUUGGAAUCUGGUUUGAGUCCUGACUCUACUACGUAUAGAUCGUUGCUGAUGGAGGCUUGUAAGAAGGGAGACGCGGUUGAGGUAGAAGAGAUUUUCAGUGAUAUGAGGUGUAGGGAUGUUGUUCCUGAUUUGGUUUGCUUUAGCUCGGUGAUGAGUCUUUUCGCUAGGAGUGGAGAUUUAGACAAGGCGUUAGUGUUUUUCGAUUUUGUCAAGGAUGCUGGUUUGGUUCCUGAUAACGUGAUCUACACAGUUCUUAUCCAAGGGUAUUGUAAGAAAGGUAUGAUCUCCGAAGCUAUGGAUUUGAGAAACGAAAUGCUUCGGCGUGGUUGUUGUAUGGAUGUUGUUGCCUACAACACCAUUUUGCACGGCUUAUGCAAACGGAAGAUGUUGGGUGAUGCGGAUAAGCUCUUCAGAGAGAUGACAGAAAGGGGUUUGUUUCCAGACUCCUACACUCUAACCAUACUUAUCGAUGGACACUGUAAGCUCGGGAACCUGCAGAACGCAAUGGAGCUUUUCAAGAAGAUGAAAGAAAAGAGGAUCAGACUCGACGUUGUGACGUACAACACGCUGUUAGAUGGGUUUGGUAAAGUAGGCGAUAUCGAUACAGCGAAAGAGAUAUGGACAGAUAUGGUAUCAAGAGAGAUACUACCGACUCCUGUAUCUUACAGCAUUAUGGUUAACGCGCUGUGCAGCAAAGGCCAUCUCCCUGAAGCGUUUCGGGUAUGGGAUGAGAUGAUGAGUAAAGGUGUGAAGCCAACGGUCAUGAUUUGUAACUCUAUGAUAAAGGGCUAUUGCCGGUCUGGUAAUGCCUCGGAUGGAGAAAGCUUUUUGGACAAGUUGGUCUCUGAAGGUUUUGUGCCGGAUAUCAUCACUUACAACACGUUGAUAUACGGUUAUGUUAGAGAAGAAAACAUGAGUAGAGCUUUUGGUUUGGUGAAGAAGAUGGAGGAGGAGAAGCAAGGGGGAGGAUUACUAGUGCCUGAUGUGUUUACGUACAAUUCGAUCUUACAUGGGUUUUGUAGACAGAAUCAGAUGAAAGAAGCUGAGGCUGUGUUGAGGAAGAUGAUUGAGAGAGGUGUGAAUCCUGACAAGUCAACGUAUACUGCUCUGAUAAAUGGAUUUGUUUCUCAAGAUAACUUAACGGAGGCGUUUCGGUUUCACGAUGAGAUGUUGCAGAGAGGAUUCUCCCCUGAUGAUCAAUUCUGAUGCUCAAUUCCUGUUGUGGUUUACUGCUGCAAGUUGCAACUCACGUAAGCUGAGGAAGGGGACCACUGGAGACAAUACACAUUCCAUUACUACUCUCCUCUCACUUUCUUCCGAGUCAAGACAGAGAAAUGAGACAGAGUAAGGUGUCUGAACGUGGCAACUGAUUAUAAAUGCAUUCUUUCUGUUUUUGGACAAACUCUCACUAGUAUACACCAACGUCUCCUCUUGUUCACAAUUGAAAGAGAAAAAGGACAAACUGCAUUGAAUUUGUUCAAUAAUUCAAGAUCUUAAUUAAUACAUAUUGUAAAUGAUUCUACAUGUGAAAACUUAUCUCACCAAACUUGCCACUAACAAACAAAGCGAAGGACACAAGAAUUUACAAUACAAACACAGAGACUUCCAAAAAUUCUAUUAAAAGAAAACACGAAACUACUUCUUGCCUUGUUCAUCAACAACAGCGGCAGCUUUUAUCACGACAAUAUCUGAUUUGCCAUUAGCACAUUCCUCAGGAACCACUGCCAUUGACCGCCUAUUACCGCAUAUUGUCCAAAGGUAUAACGCUAACAUCGCUCCUAGACUUCCACAAACCGCACCCAGAACCAAUGCACCAAGCAUUCUCCAAACACACUUGCUCUUCUUCCCCUUCACUUCCACCGUCUUCACCUCCUCCUUAACAGUCUUGGAAACUGCGUUUGGAUCAAGCGGCUGCGAGUGAAUCCUCAUCGAGGGAUGUCUCAUCCCAAAGCUCCAUGAGUGGAGAUAAUGUGGCUUGGAAGAGUUUCCAUUAGAAGAGGUCAAACCCACCAUGAAGUUCUUUCCUUUCCAUAGCUUAGCCAAGUCUACUGAGUAAGACACGAAUGGAUCUACAGGCUUUAAGGCAGUAGAAACACUCAAACGAACCUCUACUCUCUUUGAGCUCGCCUCGUAAUCAAUCCAGCAAUUCAAUCUCUUCUCUCCGUUGAAAUGGCCAUCAAAAGAUGAUAAGUUUCUAAUUUUAGCAGAUUCAGGUCUACCAACUAAGAUCCCCACACGGUUUCCUCUCUUGGAGAUACCAAACUCAACAGCAACAAUCUCCUUUUUCAAUAAGAAACCUAGACCUGAGGAAGCGUUAUCCUUCCUACCAAACAGCCUAAGAUCCAAACCACUUGGAACCAUUACAAAAGCCAGGACACUCCCAAUCUCUUUGGAGGGCAUGGUGAAGGAGAAACUAGUCGAGAGUGAACCUGGAAAGCUUCUCCCUUUAGUAGUACCUUGGAAGAGUUUGAUGGGUUUCAUGUAAAUGACUCGCCCUUGGCUCCGACUCACUGAGCCAGUCAGCUGAAUCGACGAACCUCCACCACCAACGAGCUUCGAAUCUCCAAACAGAGCAAUAUUCUUGUCAAAGCUCGGAGAUUUCGCAAACCCAUCAAAGGAAAACGAGGAAUUUGCAUCUGCGGCAGCAGCCAUAGUUUCGAAGCUGAUGACCAGCAGAAAAGCUAGGGUUUUGAAAACCGCCAUAGCUGAAAUUGAAAAUGGGGAGCUUUGAGGAAUCUAGAAAGGAGCUUUUCUUUUUUACUUCUUUCUUCAGCUUCCGAUGAAAGGAAUUUCUAGGAUUCGUGAAUGAGUUGCAGUUUUCAAGAGUGGUAGAAAUUAAAUAGAAUUUAAAGACAUCUUCUACUGGGAGAAGGUGAACUUUGGUUCGCUAUCUUUCACGCUCGGUAGUUGCUGAAUCAGUGAAAUUCAAUUAAUGCCAUCUCUGUUCUUAAUCCCCCCCCCACCACCAGUACUUCUUACUUCUCUCUUCCCUUACCCCCAUGGUCUAGAUUGUGACAUUUUAGGCCCACUUCUUCUUUCUUUUAAUAAUCCUUCCAAUAAUCAACAUUGAUCGGGUAACGAUGUAGGAUUUAACAAAUGGCUGUCUUAGAGCAUCUUUUAACCCCGGAUGCUUAAAUAGGUGCUAAUGAAGUUUUAAUAUUAAAUUUAAUGGUUAGUGGGGUUAAGGAUCUUUGUUAAGGUGCUCUCAUUUUAUGCAGUCCAAUGGAGAGUUUUUAAGUUGGGGUUCUUAAUAAAAAAAAAAAUUUUAAAAAAUUCAUUUAUUAAUUAUAAUACAUUAAAGGAUAACAUUAAAAACAUAGAAAUUUAAAAUAAAAAUGAAAUAAAGAUUAGUACAAUAACUGAGAAAAAUUCGAAAACAAACUUCCAAACUCAGUUGUUGUUUUCAUCACGUCAAAUUUAUGCCAUAAAUGUUGAACCAAAUCUUUUUUCAGUUGUUGAUUUGUACGUGGAUCACGAAUUUGUCUUCAACGUCCCAUCAUAUUGGUGAGCACUUCAUGGAAUUCUCUUUCAAUAUCGGGAUCGACAUGUGAACUUCCGGUAUCUUAUCCUUGUUGGAACUCUGAAACAUUUCGCAUGGUAUAUCCAUCUCGUUCAUCUUCUACUAUCAUAUUAUGAAGUAUGAUACAUGCCUUCAUAAUAUUCCCAAUUUUGGCUGUGUCCCAAAAAAAGUGUCGGGUUUUUAACAAUGGCAAAGCGAGAUUGCAAGAUUCCAAAAGCACGCUCGACACCUUUUCGGGCAGCUUCUUGUUUUUCAGCAAACAAAACCGCUUUCGGCCCUUGUGGCUCCCGAAUAGAUUGGAUAAAAGUAGUCCAUCUCGGAUAAAUACCGUCGGUGAGAUAGUAAGCCAAAUGAUACUCCCUUCCAUUCACAGUAUAAGUGACUUGCGGAGCCCGACCUUGUAUUAUGUCAUCAAAAACAGGUGAACGAUCAAGAACAUUGAUAUCAUUUAAGGUACCUGGAGAUCCAAAAAAUGCAUGUCAUAUCCAGAGAUCAAAGGAAGCAACCGCCUCUAAAACAAUUGUCGAUUUUCCCGAACCACGUGCAUAUUGCCCUUUCCAUGCGGUGGGACAAUUCUUCCACUCCCAGUGCAUACAAUCGAUGCUUCCUAUCAUCCCGGGAAAUCCACAGGACUCUCCAAUUGCAAGUAGGCGUUCAAGAUCAGCCGGUGUUGGUCUUCUUAGGUACUCGUCGCCGAAUAAAUAUACUAUUCCUUCCACAAAAUGUUCCACACAUAACCGAGUAGUAGAAUCAGCGAGUCAGAGGUAUUCGUCAACCGCAUCAGCCGCAGUACCAUAUGCCAAGACACGAAUGGCUGCUGUACACUUUUGUAGUGGAGAGAGACUAAGCCGGCCGAGAGCAUCUCUCUUUUGUCGAAAGAAUUCAACUUCAUUGGCGAGUCGAUCAACAAUGCGCAUGAACAAUGGCUUGUUCAUUCUAAAUCGCCGUCGGAAUUGAUUUUGUUGAUAUGUUGGAGUUUUACUGAAAUAAUCAUUCCAUAAACGUACAUCGCCUUCUUCACGAUUCCUUUCGAUGUGAACUCGUUUUUUCCUUUUUUUCUUCCUUCUUCUUGUUGAAUGUUCAAAUUUUCAAAAGAUUGAACAAAUUCUUGUUCCAUAUAUUACUCAUAAUAUUGAUCAAAAUCUACUCCCUCAAAAGUGUUUUGAGAAGAAGAAGCCAUAAAUAUAUGAUGAAAAUGACUUAAAGUUUUUUUUUGUGCGGUUAUUGGUGAGAGGGAUAUAGAACGAGAAGAAGGAGAACAAUGUGAUUAUAGUGAGAGGGUGAAUCAAAGCUUUAAACUGAACUGAUGGUGAGAGGGAUAUAAGACGAGAAGGAGUAAUGAGAUUGUGAGAAAGAGUAAUGAGAUUGUGAAUACAAUACGAGAGUGAAUCAAAGCUUUAUCUAGAGAUCAAGAAGUUUUGAAUACAACUUGUGACACAUUCAAACAAAUACAAAGUUGGUACUACAACAGAACUCGUGACACAUACAAACAAAUACAUGUUGCUACUUCAAAGAACUUGUGACACAACAAGACAAAACUCAAGACAAAGCAUAUUCGUGACUUCUGAGUACAAUCCUCACUGGUCCCAUCAACAGGGGUACACUCUUUUGAACCUGCAAAACACGAGAAGAGAACAUGAGACAAAGCAUGAGAAGAACAGAGAACAUAAAACAGUUGUAUAAUUAUAGAAGAACAUGAGAUAGAUCACGAGAAGAACAUAGAAGAUAACAUGAAACAGCUUUAUAAUUAUACAAGCACAUAAUUCAGAAACAUACAAUUACCGAGCAUAUUGCGACUUAAACCGAAAUUGAAACCUUGAUGAAAAACAGGGCAUCACACCUUGAUGAACAACAUAACAUGAAACCUAGAAAAACAGAACUAAUUAUUGAGCAUCUCUGUUAGUAACUUCUGCUUGAGAGCUUCUUCAGCUUGAGAAAGUGUCUCUUUUUUGGAAAUGAGACUGUCAAGCAAAGACAUCUUCGAAACUCUCUCCUUAACUGCCAAAUCUUUCUCCCUAAUAGCCAAAUCUUUCUCCUUAACAGCCAAAUCUUUCUCCUUAAUAGAACACAUGGUCUCAAACUGAGCAAGAGCCUGGUCUUCUGCUAUACUUUUCUUACUACAUACUCCUUUCGCAGCCUUAACACCAGGAGGACGUUUAGUUGGAUCAUCUCCGAGAUUUGAAGGUGCUUGAGAGCUUUCAGAUUGUGAUCCAUCAUUAUACUUUCUCUUCCUACCUUUUCCAUCAACCUUCGAGUUACUAACUUCACACCAUUUCUGGUCAUUCCUCAGCUCCUCCCAAACAUAGUGAAGAUUAAACUUAAUCUUAUGGUCAUUGUAGAAGAUUUGGUGUGCCAGUUUAACAGUAUCUGCCUCGUUCUGGCCACUGCUUUUCUGCCUUGUUGCUGCUGCAUAAGCUCCACAGAACUUGCACACCAGAUCAUUCAUCUUGUUGCUGAAAUGCGUUUCCAGAAAGCAUCUGCUCUCUGCUCAUUGCAAACGACUGGGUCCUUGCUCGUGUUUAGCCAUGCGCUAACGAGCACUAGAUCAUCUGUGACUGUCUAUUUCUUUCUUUCUCUACGCUCUGUAGGUGAGUCUUCACAGAAGGAUGAAGUUUGAGUAGGGAGUUGUGAAAAACUAGCAUACGGAUGGAUAGUAUCUUGUUGACUGUUCAACAAAUCAACAAAAUUGGAUGUCUGAUCCAUUUCCUAACCAGUGAGGGAAGAGAGGAAAAAGAAAUGUGUUUUGAAGAUUAAAAACUAGAGAGAAAGGUUCGGUUUUAAUAGAGGAAAAGAGAAGAAGAUCGACUUAGUUGGACAGCUAAUUGCUUUUACUCUUCCAUCUAUCUAAGAAAUUUAUUAUCUACCACACAAACCUAACACGCAUUCAUCACAGUCAUUAGUCAGAGUUAAAGUUAUCUACCACUAACACAAGCAUUCAUCAUAGUCAUUAAUCAAAAGCAUUCAUCACAACCACAGCCUAACUAUAACCAGCAUUUAUUAUCCUAAUAAGUACUAUGCAUAAGAAAGCAAUUAAGAAAAAAACAACAAACCUAUCUUUGCCUCCAACAUCCCGCCUGUCUUUGGCUCCUCAUUCUCCUCUUACCUUCCUCACAUGAUUUAUCUACGCAAACCAAAGCAAACUUAAUUAUAUACGUUACUGAUUUCAGUUGUAUAAACAACCUUAAUUACCAUUCUCAAAUAACCAAUACAUGACACAUGAUUCAUCAACUUGUUUGGACAAAUAAAAAGAAAGAUCUAACGAGAUAUCAGCAACAAUACAUGACACUAUACAGUCCUCUCUGAUCUUCAAUACUUGUUUCAAGAUUUACUAAACAAUCAGACAAAACAAUCACCUUUCAUUAACUAAAAAAUCAGAGAAAACAAUCGCCUUUCAUUUACUAAACAAUCACACCAAGCACACUAAACAUUUAAGCAGCCUACAAUUUUUGAUCAAAGGCUAAAGCUUUACAAUGACACACAAAACUUAACUACUAUCACAUGCAUUCAUGAAUUGAAAGGAGAAAUAUGUCAAUAGUUGUGAACUUAUCUCCAACGGAGGAGACGCCGUCAACACGGACAGAGUCCUCGACCCUCACAUGAAGUAGGAGGAAUCUCCAUGAGGAGCCAGACAGAAUCCGUCCUCGGUAGCGAUCAUUGAUCUGGCGGAGAAGACGACACAAGUGGAACGACGAGACUCUGUGAGGAGAAGAGAGUCGUCCUCGGUAUCGGCGGAGAUGGCGAUGGAAUUCCCGUGAGAAGCCAGAGAGACGUCGUCCGUCACCAGUUUCGAUCCUUGAUCAGAUGAAGAAGACCCGACAAGUGAGACGAGACUUCGUGACGACAAGAGAGUCCUCGGUUUUGAUCGUCAGUUUCGAUCUUUGAUCUGAUGGAGAAGACCAGGCAAGUGGGAAAAGAUGAGACUCCGGGAGGACAAGAGAGUCGUCAUCGGUUUCGAUCGUCGGUUUCGAGCAAAGAAGGUGGAGGAAUCUCUUCGAUUUUGUUAUUUUCUCUCGACGGACAAAACAAGAACACGGGAAAAUCAGAGAAAGAGAAGAGAAGAAAAAAAAUAAAAGAUAAAAGCAUCUUUAAAUACGGUCCACUGCUUACGUGACACGUGUUUUAAAUCCCCAUUAAAUUCGAUCACAAAUUACCUAAGCUAAGCAUCGGUUUUUGUCUUUCUUAUUAUUUUUCAUUUAAUUAAAUCAUUAGAUUCCUCUAAGCUUUCCUUUAAAUGUCCCGAUAAACAUGCUCUUAGAAAAUCUAGACAAAAGAAAUUAAUGCUGAUUUUAAGAUUUUAAGAUAGUGGAGAUGAAAUGAUAUUUUAUUGUCCACAAACCAAAGAGAAGUAGAAAAUGUGGGGUUUGGAGAUAAACAAAGGUGGAGUUGUGUUGGCAAACAAAAAGAUGGAAUCUCAUUUAUCUCUAAUAAAUGUGUUAAUUAGUGGCCAACCAACUGAUUAUAUUAUUUAUCCAUACCAAAUUGUUCAUGGCUUCUUAAAAUAUGGGCCUAACUAUCAGUAAUUUUAUUCGUGGGCCUAGAAAAAGAUAAUUAUAUUAUUAAUGGGCCAUAAUUCUUAUCAAAUAAAGAAUAUAAAUUACCCUAACCAGUUUCUUACGGAUUACAGUCAAGUCCAGACUCUCCAGUAACAAUUACUGGAAAACUGAUAAUCCAUUUUACGGCAUGUCUUAGAGCAUGAUUAAUCCGGAAUUCUUAGGAUAAGGUUUUAGCAAAAUUUAAGAAACUGUUUCUUAACUUUUAACUAAAAAGCUAAGAACCGAUUCUUAAAUAAGGAUUUUAAGAAGCGAACCGAUUCUUAAAUAAAGAUUUUAAGAACCGAACCGAUUUUUAACUUUUUUAGUUAAAAGUUAAGAAACAGUUUCUUAACUUCCGGUAAGAACUGCACUCUAAGAAUCCCGGGUUAAUGAUGGUCUUAAUGUUACUAGGAUUUUUGGGAAGGUUUCAUUUUAAUAUUAUUUUCAUCCGAACGCAUUUAACUAUGGAGUUUUGAUGAGAUAUGGUGCAUUAGUACUAGUAUGUUGGCACCCUUCCAUCUGUUUUUAUAUUUUAUGCUGGUUCUAUCAGAUUUUCUUUUUCUUUUUUGGUGUAAGUUCUAUCAGUUCUAUUAUCAGAUAAUUGAAUAAAACUAUUUGUAUUGCAUAUUGGUUUCAGCUGAAUUUCAGUUUUGGUUUAAAAAUUUUCAUUUACUUUGGUUCAGUUUUUUUCUGUCGCCGGUUUAUUCUUUCCAUUUACAGAGAGUUUUUUGCGGUCAAAACAAUAUUUGGUCUGACCUUUAUUAAUAAAAGAGAAAAAAAAAAAAAACAGAAGCAUGAGAGAAGUGAGUGGUGGCGUGAAAGGGAAGGAUGAUGAGACAGACCGACCCAAAGGCGGUGGUCCCAAAGCUCAGCCGCACUACGAUCACGAUACUUCGUUAGUUCUAUCACGUCACGUGCCUCCCAUGCGAGUAAUUUGUAAUCUCCACCGUCAAACAUGUUGACUUACGCCUCUCCGAUAACCUAAAUCAACGUUUAGAAGAAAAAGAUUUCAUAAGCUUAAUAAUACGAAACACAUGCCCUCAAAUCAUAAACAACACGAUGAUACUUAGCGUGCGGAUUAGUUAACAAUCGAGUAUUAUCAGCUUAAAGCCUGCUAUAAUGUUUUAUUUUUCUUUGUACAAAACAAAUUAAAUAAAUAAAAAUAAAGCUGUCUUGUGAAUAAUGUUUUGCAUCACUUUGGUCCACAGACAGAACAAAAACAUAGUCCCUCAGAUCUUCUGACCUUUCAUGUCUUUUUUCCCUUAGUUUUAUUUGCUUUUUAUAAUCUCUUGAUCCAAGAGUUCAUGUUUACUUGUGACAGAAGUCUUGUAAUGAUAAUAUAGCAAAGUCUUGUCUUCUCUCUCUCAAAUAAAAAGAAAUGUCAUCUUUCGAAAUCUCUCACCUUGAUUUAGAGAAUGGUUCCGGUGAUCAGCGUCAUUACCGUCGAAGUGACGUCAGCGAGUUCGGAGAAGACAGCUCUUCCUGCGACUAUGACUACGAUUUUCACUCAGCUGUAAGGAGCUUUUGCGGCGAGUUUGAGUUUCCUGAUUUGGAGGACCUCUCAGAAUCAGAAUCGGAAACUUCUCGAUCAUCUCCGGAGGAGAAAGAUUGCCGGAUUUGCCAUUUGGGUUUAGAGAGUAGCCGCCGUGAAUGUGGAGACCCAAUGGUUCUUGGAUGUUCUUGUAAAGAUGAUUUGGGUUAUGUUCAUAAGCAAUGUGCCGAGACUUGGUUCAAGAUCAAGGGUGACAAGUAAGCAACCAAUUAACUAGUUUGAUCUCACUCAAUAAAAACCAAUGUUGGACUUAACAAGUUGAUGUUUCAGGACUUGCGAGAUUUGUCGUUCGAUAGCUUUAAACUUCUCUAAAGCUGGCAACGAGAUUGAUCAAACAACCACGAUUGAAACCAAUGUGAGUGACGUGGAGGCUGGAAAUUCAUCCACGGUGGUGGCCACAAUGGAUUCCGAUGACCGGAGAUUCUGGAGAGGGAAUAAUAGGUUUCUUAACUUCCUUUUGACAUGUAUGGUUUCUGCAUUUGUAAUCUCAUGGUUCUUUCACUUCAACUUGCCUUCACAACAAUGAGGAACAAGAUUAAACAUCCUCUGUUUUUUUUUUUCCUUUUUUUUUUCUUUUGCUUUGUGUGGAAUUUGAUUCCUGUUUUAGCUUUUUGCACGAGUGCAAUCAUAUCAAACAAUUGGAAUACAAAUAUAAAAAUCAUAAUUGAGUUAGAUUAAAAAAUAGCAUACAAAUCUGUAUGGUUACUUACAUGUUUAUAUUUAUUUAUUCACAAUUUCUGAAUAUACAUGUUUUUUUCACAAACUCUUAUAAGCCUCAAGGGCAGAACCAUGCCUAAGAACAUGAUUAUUGAGAGGUUCUUAGGACGGAGUUCUUAACGGAAUAUAAAAACUCGUCUCUUAACUUUUAACUAAAAAAGCUAAGAACCGGUUCUUAAAUAAGAGUUUUAAGAGCCGGUUCUUAACUUUUUUAGUUAAAAGUUAAGAGACGGGUUCUUAUAUUCCGUUAAGAACUUCAUUCUAAGAAUCCCCAAUAAUCAUGCUCUAAUAGCUUUACUUUCAACUUCCAUUUCGAGUUUGGUAAGACAAGCCGCUUGUAAGUAAAGAGCGAUUUUGGCCAUCCCAGUGAAAGUACUUGUGCUUGCGUUGCAUCGCUUAGAGCCUCGCUGAACAUUUCACUCAUAAGGUAACAUAGCCACCUAAAAAGAAAAAGGAAAAAACAUGCCACCUUCUUGCCAAUACUGUGUGUGGCAACAAAAUGUUGAUUGAUUCAAAGUAUCAAUCUAGAAAUUAGGAAGUAGUAUUGGAUUUGUGAUUUAGUUUAAUGUGGGAUGUUUCAUAAAUAUUAGGGGUUUAAUUAUUUGUUUUUAUUAUUGGGAUCAUGGGUAGUUGUCUUCUUAUUUAAAUAUUCAAUAUUUUGUAAUUGUGUUUUAAGCUUUUUCAAUCAACGUAAUAUUCAGUUUUUUUUUCUCUGAAAUCUCCCAACACAAAAUUAGUAAUGGGGAGAAAAUUAAAACGGACAUUGUAUUAUCAAAAGAUAUCUGCUGCUUGCUUGUGGUAUUUGGUCAUCAAUCAUGCUUUCCUAACUAUACAUUAGAACCGAUUACAAUAUCAUGGAUAUUUAGUUUAGGAAUAUCUGAAUCUCUUAAGUUUUAAUACUCUAGAAACAUUAUUAAAGAAGACAAACCACACACUGAGAUGUUGAUUGUUUGUAGUUUUUGUUUUAGUUUUUGGUUUUUGAUUUUGUAAAAACCAUUUCACUUGCCAAUCAAGUUUUUUAACAAAUAGAUUCCCUAAAAUUUAGAUAAACUAGUUUUCAAAAUUUCAACCAAUUUGUGAAAAAAAGCUAAAAACCAACUUUUGUGGGUUUUCAAAAUAAAAACGAAUUUUGUUUAUUUUGUAUAAAAUACUAUAUUUUAAUUAAUUAAUAACUAAGUAAAUAAUAUUUUCAUAAAGAUAAAAUUCCCAUACAUUUUUUUUUAUCAUUUAACAUUAAUGUAAAAUAAUUUAUGUGUUUCAUAUAUGUAAAUAAAUAUAGAUAAUUUUAGUAUUAGUUGUAGCCAAUUAAUUCUUAAUAUCUAUAAAUAAAUUAUUGAAUAAUAUUAUUAUACAUAAUAAACAACAACUAAAAAUUAUUAAAUUUAAAAUAUUUUAUUAAUACAAUAUAUUAUAUUAAUUUGAAAAAUAGCCAUUCAAGUUCUAAAAAACGAAAAAUAUUUUAUGUAAUAAAAUUUAUAAAUAGUUUCAAAAUUUUAAAAUAUUUUAAUUUUUAUAAUUUAUAGAUAUUUUAUUAAUUAUAUUUAUGUAUAACACGUAAAAUAAAAUAAUUUAAAACAUGGUGAUCUUUUUAUUUUAAAUAACAGCCACUGUAUUUAGAUAAAUUUUAAUGGUAAUUUAAAAAAAAAAUAUUAUUUUAAAACAAUGUUUUUUUUUGUUCAACUUUUUUUUACGUAAAAAAAACAAUAUUUUGCUUAUUUUAUAAAAAAAACUAAGAAUAAAACUAAACAAAAAUCUAAAAACCAAAAACUAAAACCAAAAGCUGAAAAUCAAAAAAUGAAAUCUAAAAGUUAAAAACCAAAAACCAAAAUCUAAAACCAAAAUGUAAAAACCAAAAACUAAUGGAAACAAUCAUCGUCUCUAAAUCUUUGACAUUAUAGAAUUCAAAUUGGAAAGAAGAAAAGAAACAAAAAGACGGGCCUAGAUGGGCAAUAGUUAACAUAAACUUUGUCGUUGGCCCAAUAGUGUCAGCCUAAAAUCUUCUGGUUGUUACUUGUCACUAUAUUUUGGAUAAUCUUAUCAAAAGAAAUGAAAAAUGGCCAGAAAUAUAGACCAUAGAAAAUGACAACAAAACUCAAUACUUUCACAACACUAAGUUACUAACUGAUGCUUUUAGUCUCAAUUAACUAAAUCAUUUUAAGCCCACAUAUAGGUUCUCUUUUUUUUCUAGAGGACUACAACAAAUAAAAUCCCACACACAGGGCAGUGCCUGAAUUUUUUUGGGCCUAGAAGCAAUUUUUUUUUAUUCUUUAGUACUUCAUCCGUUCUGAAAUGUAAAAUGUUUAUAAAAAUUUUUUUGUUCCAAUAUAUAAGAUGUUUUCAUAUUUUUUAGGUAGCAUUAACUUUAUCAAAAUCUGUGUCAAUCAAAUUUAAUAGUUCUAUUUUGUAAUUGGUUGAAAAAAUUUUAAUUAAUAUUUUUAAUAAUACUUUCUAUAUAAAAAAUAAUUUUAUUAAUAAGCGUGUUUUACCGAAAUAUCUUUUUUUUUUUUGUCAAAUGAAUUCAUUUAAGGGUAAUUGGGUAAACCAAAGUACGAACAAGCCAUAAACCGGCCAGAAAAGAGAAUAAAGAUGAAAAGAAAAACCCAACCAACGCCAGUAGGUGAGGAUAAGACCCACAAAUUGGGAAUUCAGAAUGAGAAAAACCAAUUAGAAGACUGAAAAAUAGAGCACCACAAAGGUGCUGUUCCAGACCUCCAUCGCUCAGUAUCAGCAAGUGCUAUUUCCAGAUGCUUCUGAUCGAAUGAGAGAGCUAAGCCAAGCAGGACCAACAUGUGCUACGUACGACUGUACUCUAUGAUCACGAGUAACACUUAACGCCACCUCAUUUGCCAUUUUAUUCAGCCUCAGUGGAACCAAUGUAAUGUGAUAGUUUCCACUACUUUGCAACAGAAAGAGUAUAACAUUUGAUAAAUUGGUAUGUAGGAAGAAUCAAAUUUGUCAACAAAGUAAACAAACGCUUAGUCCAAAACCAACUGAAUCAACCAAUUUUUUUUUCAAAUUGACUUCUAAAAUAUAUUUAGCUAUACCGACACUCAAGCGCAUGUUUGAUGGACUUGCACUCAGGCACAGCCCUAAGUUGGAUAUUUAGUAUGAAAAGUGUUUACUGCAGCCGAUGUAGAAUUGAUCUACACACAAAAAAAAAGCAUUUCAUAAAUAUACAAACACAGGAUUAAAGAUCUGAGAGAACUAUAUGAAAAGUAUUUUCUCAAAUACAUGUACGAAAAGUUUGAGACACGUGGGCUUUUUAUGAUCGUAAUGGGGUAGACGUGGGCAUUUUUAUAAAUUAAUUGUUUACAACUAGAUUUUUGAAAUUUGGCCUUUGGAUUUGAGUAACUUUACGGACAAAUCUCCAAAAUAGCACAUUUCUAAGUUUAUAUCACAAAAAUAGCAUUCAAAAACUAAAAUGACCAAAAUAGCAUCUUUCUAAGUUUAUCUUUUGAAAAUUUUAAUUUUUUUAUUUUUCAAAAUUAGAAAUCUUAUCCCCAAAACCUCAUUUCUCAACCCUAAACCCUAAACCCUAAACUUUAAACCUUAAACUCUAAACUCUAAACCCUAAACCCUAAACCAUAAACCCUAAACCCUAAACUCUAAACCCUAAACCAUAAACCCUAAACCCUAAACUCUAAACCCUAAACCCUAAACUCUAAAAUCUAAACUCUAAAUCCUAAACCCUAAACCCUAAACCCCACCCUUUAACUCUAAACCCUAAGUUUGUGACUUUUGAUAAAAUAUUAAGUGCUAUUUUUGUGACUUUUGACUUUGAGUGAUAGUUUGGGAACAUUUGAUUUAGUGCUAUUUUUGUCUUUUUCUCUAAUUUUAUCGUAUUCAUAUUUUAAUAAGAAAUAAAAAGAUCACGAAAAACAAAAGAUCUCGUGUUUCACAUGGCAAAAUCGUAUGUGUAUAGUUGUGUACGUGUAUCAUGUUCUUUCUUUAUCUCGUGUUUUGUGCAAGUGUAUCGUGGUCAUAUGCUUAUUAUACAGAGUCAAUUGGUCCAUAAUUAAAAAAGAAUAUGAAUAUUAACAAUCUAAAUUUUUUGUCUUUAGCAAUCAAAGCAAUAUCCUCCGAGAUUUAGGGUAUUUACCUAAUUAGGAAGAAAGUUUUGUGUACGUGAAGCAAUUUCUCUAUUAUAUGCCCUUUAGUUGAGAAGGUUCUUCUAGAAAUAUAUAGACGGUCAGCAGAGAUUUCUUUUUUUGAAGAAAAUGGAGUAAAAUAUUUAGGUGAAAAAGUGAUGAAAAUAACUUAAUUAAAAAGAAAGAUAAAAGGUAAAUGGGGUAAAAGUGAUGAAAAUAACUUGAUUAAAAAGAAAGAUACAAAAAUUUGAUGUUCCAAUAUAUAAAAUGUUUUCAUUUUUCUAGGUAACAUUUUACUUUAUUAAAAACCGUGUAACCAAUCAUAUUUGAUAAUCUAUUUAGUAAUUGAUUGAAUAACAUUAAUUUAUAAUUUUACUGAUGUUUUCUAGACAAAAAAAUGAUUUUUUUAAUAUGCGUGUUUUUACAUAAACAUCUUAUAUUUAGGAACAGAUGGAAUAGUAAAUAUGAGUGUGCAUAUUUUAUUUUUUUUGAAUAAUAAGUGGAGUAAACAUGAGAAAAUAUUGUUACAUUUGAUUGGUAGAACUUUGGAGGAAACUAGAGUAGUUUAAAUUUUGAAGUAAAAAUUUCAUAUUAGUUUUUUUUGUCAAGAGCUCUAUAAUAGUUAUCCAAUUAAAACCACGAUUUAUGCAUAUAUAUGAAUGAAUAAUUAUUGGAAAGGAAUAGAAACAUUGGAUUAUUCAAAAAAAAAAACAUAAGAUUAUUUGAAAAUUAUAGUUAUAUUCUUGUCAUAUGAAGGUUUAAAACAUAAAAGAGGUCGUUACCAACUAAUGGUUGUCUAAGCAAUAUUUUCCUCUGUUUCAAUAUAAUACAUAUUUUAUGUUUUUCACAUGUUAUAAAUGCAUAAUUUGUUGUACUAUCUUUUCUAUAAUUGUAAACCGAUAAAAAUCUAAUAAGUGCAAAUAAAUUUUUUGAAGUUUGCAACUAAUCAUAAAUAGUUGAUAAACCAUUCAUUGAAAAUAAAAAAAAAUGCAUUUUUUUGAAACAAUUUUUUUAAAGAUUUAAUUUUAUGAAAUAGAAUGAAUGUUAAUAUGGACAUACAAUCAUUUGAUUUUUUAGAAUCUCAGAUCGAAUACUAUCUCUUAUUAUUUGCCUUGAAAUUUCUUUCACUAAAUAUUUGAAAUCAAAUUGUUUGUUCCAAAACGAAUUAACAUUUAUUUUUAUUUGGAAUUAUGUUUGGGCCACCGCUAAAUAAGGAUGCAAGAACAACUCCAAUGAAAAUAUGUGAAUGAGUAUCUCACUGUUAAACUAUAUAUAAAAAUAAAAAAAUUGAAGAAAAAGUGAGAUUGAGUUCUCAGAAAGAUCUUAUGAAAAUUCCAUUAGAACCUCUCGUACCACAUGUCCACUUAAUUCUUUUGAUUUAAUUCUUUUUAAAAAAUUGAAAUUUAAUUAUGUAAACAAACUGUAUUGAACUAAUAAUAAUAUUAAAUUGCUGAGAUACUUGUUUUAGAUCCCAACCAAUAAGAUUGCUCUAAUCUUAUCACAGAUCUCGAGAAUAACAAUUUCCUAGAUAACACAUAAAAUAUACUUAUUUCCUAAAAAAAUCACGUUUUUAGAAUUUUCACUCUUUUUAAUUAAAUAUAUUAAAACUUAGAUAUAAAUGCAUAGUUUUUGUAAUUUUAUAUUUUCUAUAUUUUUUUAAUCAAUAAAAUUUUUAAAAUGUAAUUAAUGUUCUUGAAUUUCACAAUUUUUCAUUAUUAGUUGACAAAAAUUACAUUGAAAAUAUAAAAUAUGUAUCUUUUUGAAACAAAAUUUUUUUCUAGAAUAUAGAUUUUUUUAAGAAUGGAGUCUAUAAAAUAAGAGACCAAAAGAGGAGCAGCUUUUUGACACCUAGCUAUUGUAUGAAAAAAAGUGUUCAAUAAAGUUUUGAGUUCGGCAGUUUUGGCGAAUUAAUAAGUCAAAUGGUCCUUUCUAUAAUGUUAAAAAAACAUAUACUCCUUUCUAUAAAUACGCAUAAAAAUGUAUCACAGCUGGUCAUUCCUUUUGGUGACGGAGACGUUUUUAUAUCCUUGCAUCAACAAUGCCUCUCCCAAUCCAAGCUUUCUUUGUCCCUCUCCUCUUCCUCUUCUUCUUCUUCUCCUCCUCCAUUGCUACGGCAGCUAUCGUUGAGCAUGUUUUCCAGGUAUUUACUUAUAUGCCACUCUCUCCUAUUUGAAAAUAUAUUGUCAGUUAUUUUAUUGAACAUAUACAUCAUUCUAUAUUCUAGCCUCUUUUCUAGAACCGGAAACGCGGUGGCACGCAUUUCGUUGUCGUUUCCUCCAUUUCGAAAAAAAAAUAUUACCGUAUUUGGUGGAUCGAGUCUAACUAACCCCAGCUUUUAGUAUUAUAUUUAAUAUUUCCGUAUAGACUUUUGGGUUUUUUUUUUAACUUUCUAAAUAUGGUAAAGAAAAAGAGACAGCUUUACGUGCAACUCUUUAAAAUAUGACGGGACAAUAUUAACGGCGUCUGACAAUAGGUUAAAAACGUGGUGGUGAAACCGUUGUGCAAGGAGCAAAUGAUACCGACUGUUAACGGAAGUCUUCCCGGUCCAACGAUAAACGUUAGAGAAGGCGACACUCUCGUGGUUCAUGUUAUCAACAACUCUACGUACAAUAUAACCAUCCACUGGUAACGGAUUGAUCUCGAUCGAUAUUAUAUCACCAAACAAUGAGUUCUUAUUUUAUUUUAUUGUACGAUCUAUAAGAAUUAUCUGUUUAUGGGCGCACGCAUAUAUUUAGGCAUGGAGUGUUUCAGUUGAAGAGCUCAUGGAUGGACGGUGCAAAUAUGAUAUCUCAAUGUCCGAUUCAACCACGUAAUAACUUCACGUAUCGGUUCGAUAUCACCGGACAAGAAGGUACUUUGUUAUGGCAUGCUCACGUCGUUAAUCUACGUGCCACACUUCACGGGGCUCUUAUCAUCCGUCCCCGAUCGGGCCGACCUUAUCCGUUUCCUAAACCCUACAAAGAAGUUCCUCUUGUUUUUGGUAAGCAUUUUUUUUUCUUUCUAGAACCAACUACGACUAAGAAGCAAAACCGGACUGUGUUUUGAUCAUAAAUGUAAAAAGAGUUAUAUUUUGAGGAUGAAUUUAUUUAAAUGUUAUAAACAUAUUUUAUUUUAUUUUUCCUCGAACUGAUAUAACGGGGUAAAUAUAAUCAAUGUUGAGUCACUGUCAGAAAAUUAGUUGAGGGCUAUGGUCAAUGAACUUUAUCUUUUUUACGAUUAACAAAUAUAAAUAAUAGAAAUACUCGUAUUGUAUUUUUUUUCAAGUUAGUACUUUUUUGGGUAAAUGUUACAAGUAUGCACACGACUAGCGUUGGUCCGGAUUAAAUACAAGAGCAUAUAAUACUUAUCUUUUUACGCCAACCCAAUAUUUUAUAAGAAACAAAAUCUUUGUAGUUAACAAAUAUUUACGUUCGAAGGAUUAAAUAUUCAUUACAACAUAUUAUCCUGUUUUUCAAACUAUUAAUUAAUUUGUUUGGAAAAAAAUAUUAUGCAAGAACAAUGGUGGGACACAGAUAUUGAACUUCUUAAUUCACGGCCAGCUCCGAUUUCCGAUGCGUACCUCAUUAAUGGCCUCGCUGGAGAUUCAUAUCCUUGCUCUAAGAACAGUAAUGCUCAUUCUUUACGUAGCUCAAAAGUUAAUUAAUAAAUUGCUUACAACAAUUAAUGAUAUUUUUUCUCGGCUUCCAUAGGGAUGUUUAAGCUCAGGGUAGUACAAGGGAAAACAUACUUGCUAAGGAUUAUAAACGCGGCGCUCAACACUCACCUCUUCUUCAAAAUAGCCAGUCACAACGUGACAGUCGUCUCUGUUGAUGCUGUCUACACGACACCUUACGUUAGCGAUGUGAUGAUUUUGACGCCAGGACAAACCGUCGACGCACUUCUCACGGCUGACCAGCCCAGCGGAAUGUACUACAUGGAGAUAAGCCCUUACACUAGUGCUAACUCGUUAGUACCGGUACCCCCUAGCACUCCUAUUAGAGGCCUAAUCGUCUACGAGGAUGCCAAGUCGACAGCAUCCCCAUCAAACUCGUUGAUGCCUUCAGGGAUGAAUGCAAUAUCCACCGCCCAUAGAUUCUCCUCAAACAUCACUAGCCUCGUGGGUGGACCAUACUGGACGCCAGUGCCUGACCAUGUGGACGAGAAGAUGUUCGUAACCAUGGGGCUUGGCUUAAAGCCAUGCCCUCCGGGAACCAAGUGUAUUGGUCCGUUUGGUCAGCGGUACGCUGGUUCUCUCAACAACCGUACUUUUGUGAUCCCCGGAACGAUUUCACUCCAAGAAGCCUAUUUCUAUAAUAUCAGUGGAGUAUACACCGAUGACUUCCCCGACCAACCUCCAAUGAAAUUCGACUACGCAAAUUUUGGCGUCCGUACAAAUUUUGAAUACAAAUUGAUGUUUCCGGAGAGAAAGACUAGCGUGAAGACACUUAAAUAUAAUUCUACAGUAGAGAUUGUUGUGCAGAACACAGGGAUAAUCACCCCAGAGAGUCAUCCCAUGCACCUUCACGGCUUCAAUUUCUAUGUGUUGGGUUAUGGAUUUGGUAACUAUGAUCCCAUCCGUGAUGCAGAUAAGCUAAAUCUAGUUAACCCGCAAAUGCACAAUACCGUUGGUGUACCACCAGGUGGAUGGGUUGUCUUAAGAUUUAAAGCCAAUAAUCCUGGUAAGAAAUAUUUUUGCUUUUACCAAAAAUAAUAUAUAGAUUUUCAUAUAUACCAACUGUUUAUAUAUAAAUCGAUGGCUUAAUUUGACGUUAUACUUUUGCAGGUGCAUGGAUGUUUCAUUGUCACAUGGAUGCACAUUUACCUUACGGAAUAGUAAUGGUUUUCAUAGUUCAAAAUGGACCAAGUCCGGAAACAAGCAUGCAACCUCCACCGUCGAAUCUUCCACAGUGCACUCGUGAUCCCACGAUUUAUGAGUCGCUGGCAACAAGCGUUGAUUUGUCUUCCUAGAAGUAGCUUUUACCCCAGCUGCCGGAUCUUCUCUAGAAGUAACUAUCAAUCGUAGUUGCUUCUUCAUUUUUUGGUAUUUUAAUUGAUUGGUAAUAUAGAGAUAUUUUUCCAAAAAAAACCUAAAUCUGGGAGACUUGUUUUAAAUCUGAGUGUGGCAAUUGGAGAUGACGCUUUCAAGUAUUGUUGGUACUCUCGUCUCUUGACUGACUGGUUGUAGCUUCAAAUCUUACUUGGGGAGAGACUGAUUAGUUAUUGCUUUUCUGACAUUAACCAAGGUAAGAUAGAAUUAGGAAUUAAUUCAAACUCAAGGGAGAGACUGCAUGUAGUUGAUAGUGACUCUGAAAUAGCGUGUAUAUAUUCAUUCUAUUAUGAAUGAAUAUGAUUUUGUGAAUUUUGGUUCCCUUGAGACAACACAAAAAAAAAAUAAGAGUCUUAAUUACAGGAAGAAAGAAAGAGACGAUCAUUAGAUACUCUCCCUCUCUUGAUUGCAAGAGAACAAUGCUGCGGACCUGAUGAUUCUCUUGCUAUACACAGAAGCAAGAUCAGCAUUCGAGUCUCCAACGGUCUUCUCCCCUCAGUCUAACUUCUCAGCUCACUGUUUCCUGCUGUCUGACGCUCUUUCUCUUUCUUCUUGUGCAUGUAUAUCCCCUGCUCUCUUCCACGGACCUUCAUUUUAAGCCCACACUUAGGCUCCUUUUCUACAACAAAUGAUAUAAUAUAUAUUCAGAUGAUUUAUAAUUACAUAAUUAUGAACAUUUAGUAUGAAAAGUGUUUACUGCAGCAGAAUUUUAAAUGGGUCUAGACUCUAGAGGAUGUGGUUGUACAUGUUUAAGCCAAAUCGUAACAUAUAUAAAACCAGAAGACAAAAAAAAAAGAGGAAGAAGAAUUUAUUGAAUAUUUCAUCAAUAUCGUAGAUUAAAGAUCCGAGAUAUAACUAUAUACAAAUAUUUUCUCAAAGAAAUAAUGAGACAGAAAGGUGUCCAUUAUUUUCGAUGCGCUAGUAGGCGUAAUGGGAUAGAAGUGGCUAUAUUGUAUAUAUUUGAUUGUUUAAAACUGGGUCGUCGAAAUCUGGCAUCUUAGUAAAUUACUAAAGUAUGGCUUUUGAUACAUAUGUUAAAAAAAAGAGAUACAUAUGUUAUUAAGAAAUAAAAAACAACAACAAAGGUCUCGUGUUUCACAUGUCAAAGUCGCAUAGAUGUAUCAUGCUCAUGUGUGUUUGACUCGAGACAGUAAUGUAAACUUGAUCAAUGUUUCCAUGUAUAAGAAGGAGAAAAUAUAAGACUUGAAAUAACUUGAAAACAAAUAGUAAUUUUACGGAAUUGGAUUUUUCGUAUCUAUAAUUCUAUAUUCUUAUUCUUAAUAAUUCUAGAGAUGGACAUUUGCUCCCUUGAUGUUAUUAAGACCGAAUAUGAUCUAGGAUUAUUUCUAUAAAAUUUCCUUCACUAAAUAUCUGAAAUCUAUUAGUUUUUUUGUUACACGAGUUGCUUUAGUUUAGUUAAAAAAAUUUUGAUUGAAUGACUGAAUUAUGCUAGUGUCUUAUUAGGUAUUUUACUGUUCCGAAAAACUAUAUAUUUUUGAAAUUUGAUACUUUUUGACAUUAAACGUUUGUAUUAUUUAAAAGACUUAUAUGGUAAAUGUUUUUUAAGUUUAAACAUAAAAUAGCUAAAAAUAUUAGGUUUGAUCUCAACAGCUAUUGAGUGUGCUAAAUGUGUUUAAUUUUGUUUGGAUAAACUAAUAUCAUCACUUUUAAAAAUAAAUGUCAGAAAGGAUUUUGGCUGAUUUCAGUCCAAUUUUUAAAAUACAUAUAUGUACGUACGUUGUUAAGAAAAUAAAACAAAAUAUACUUUGGUUUUAGUUUCAGACAACGUGACAUAAUAGAAAGAAAAUGAUAACUCUGGAAACAUGUUUGGGCCACUACCAAAGGGAAACGUAAUCGUAUUAGAGAUCUAAAGCUUAUAUAUUCUCUUUUUUUUUUUUUGAGCAACAGCUUAUAUAUUCUCUAAACAACACAUAAAUUAUACAAUAAGCUACCACCGGACGUAGUAGACCAGUUGAUUUAAGCUUGAACAUUAAUAUUUUUAUGCUUUUGAUUCAAAAUCCGAUUAAAAGAAUAAUUUACGUUGUGUCAUUAGUUAGUAUCAACAAAAACUGAUUUCAAAUUAUGGAAGAGACCAGGACCUAAUGCCCAAACUCUUUUUAGCUAACAAAAAAAUCUAUACAAUAAGUUAUCAAAGAAGUGAAACUCUGAUGGUUAUUUGGAGAGAAAUCUCCUAUAUAUUAAAAGAGAAACAAUACAACAUUUGAGAUAACCACGUGUCAUCACCUCAAUGAUUAUCAAAAUCUAGAAAUAGAUUGGUCUAUCUAAAUAUAUAAUAAGUUUUUUAUUAAACUAACCAUAGAUUAAUUAUUAAUAUUUUUAUUCUUUCUAUAAACAAAAACUACGGAAUUUUCUAAUGUGGCUAAAGUAUAUAUGACAAUUAAUGAGUUUAAAUAAUAAAGAUUUGAUAAAAAUUAGUGUAUCCUCUAUCAAUUUUUUUUCAAUUUUAACUUAUUAAAAUAAAUUAAUUUACCACAUUAGCCAUAUAAUAUAAACUUAGUUUUUUCGUAUAUAUUAUAUUUUCAAUUUUGAAAAAUAACUAUAAGUUACUAAAACUGUUAAAAGUCUCACAUUAAAAAAAUUUCAUGAACAAUGGUUUCAGUUUUUUAUGACAAGAUACAAACGAUUAUAAAAUCAUAUAUAUAUUAAUAUCGUUUAAAUUAACUAUAUACCAUAUAAAAUACAUAAAUAUUUUAAUUUCGAAAUUUUCUUUGAACAAUUUUUUUCGAUAAAAGCUUUCAACAAAUAUUGACAAUUUUGUAGUUAAAUUUUAAACUUUGCAUUGAAUAAUUUUAAAAAAUUAUAAAUUACAAAAACUAUUAAACAUUACACAAUGAUAUUUUUUGUUAUCAGUGACUCAAAGUUUUUGCUAUUAAAAAGAUACAAAUGAUCAAAAAAAUUAUGAGUAGAAAAAAAUAUUUAAUAAAUAUCAGUAUUAAAAAUAGACUAUAUAUCUAUGUUAAUAUCAUUUAAAUUUAAUUAUAGACCAUAUAAAAUUAAAAGUGUUUGUUUAGAUUAAUAUAAUUUAUUUAUGUGUUCACAUCAAUUUGAUAAUAUAUGUAAUAGUUAUUGAAUUUUUAAUAUUUAUUAUUUCAUAACAUAUAAAAUAAUAUAUAAUACAUAAAAAUAAUUUAUAUAUAAUGUUCAUCCCGCGCAAGGCGCGGAUCUUAACCUAGUCUACUAUAUAGCAAACAAAGCUGAUCAGAUUAGUCAAUAGGACAUAAAAAUAAAAUUUAGACAUAGACAGCUAAUUAUGAAGAAAUGUGGAAUCAUGUUUGAGGUUGCCAUUUUCGCUUAAUUAUAUUAAUAACUCAAUAUGUUUUUUGACUAAAGGCAUGAUAACUCAAUAUGUUCCAAAAAAAAAAAUUGUCACAACUCUUUCUCUUCUUUAAAUACGCACAUACGAUUAAUGUCCCACAACUUAUCAUUCCUUUUAGUAACGAAGACUUUUUCAUAUCCUUACAUGAACAAUGACGCUCGCAAUCAAAGAUUUCUUCGUCCCUCUCCUCUUCUUCUCUUCCAUUGCUUCGGCAGCUACCGUCGAACAUGUUUUCCAGGUAUUUACUUUUAAUCCACUCUCUCCUUUUGUUAUUCUCUAUAAGAAAUAACGGGUUAAACCUUUUUUUUAGAAACAUUUUUGCCAGUUAGAUAAUUGCACAUAUAUCCAGCGGCGGAGCUACGCUAAUGGAGAGGGGGGCAGCUGCCCCAGAUAAAACAAAAUAUUUAUCCAAAUCGUUACGUAAUUAACCAAAGUUUCACUACAUCACCUUGUCUUGUCCCCGUUGAAAUUUUCUUCCUGCCCUCACCAAACCUUCCCUCAAGCUUCACAUCUCACCAUUUCAGUUUUUUUUUUUAAUCUCAUAUUUAUCAGUUGUAAUAAAUUAUUGGUACUUUCCUAUUUUGCAUGUACACUAAUAUCCAUGACAAAAUAUUCAAUGCAUUUUUGUAUUUUAUUUAAAGAGGUUUAUUCAGUAACUUUCGUUGUUCAAUAACUAUUUUAUAUAUUUUUUAUUGAUUAACUAUUUUGAUGAGAUAAUUAUGUUUUUAUUAUUUUCUCAUGAGUCAUGAUUAGGUUAUUUUCUUUACAAAUACCAUAUACAUUUUUUAUUAAAAAUAUUUAAGUUAUAUGUUAAAUCAUAUAAAUAAUAAAAAUAUUUAUUUAAAAUACCAGCUGUUUGUCACUUUAUUUAAUAAUAAAUAUUUAUUUAUUUAUAUAAAUAAUUUAUUUAAUAGUAAAUAUUAUUUGAAAAAAAAAUUAUGCCUCCUGUAAAAAAAAUUUCUGGCUCCGCUACUGCAUAUAUCAUUUCAUUGUAUCUACUAGCCUCUUUUUGUUUUCCCUGGCAAAAAAUCUUACCGUUUUUUUUUUUGGUAAAAAAAUAUUACCGUAUUUGCUGGAUCUAAUCUAAGAGACGUAGUAUAUAUAUGAAUAUUUCCAUAUAUAAAUGGAAGAACCCAAUUUUACGUGCCACUCAUUAAUAUAUAAGAAGAUGAUUAUUGGUAGUCCCAACAUUGGUCCUUAGUAUUUUUGGUGUGGAGCUCACCACAUUUUUUUUAAGAAUUUUGCUCAAAUGUCCCUAAUUAAGAAACAUUCCAAAUGUUGUCAUGUCCCUAACUGUUUGUGGACCCCACUAACACGUGGCGGUCGGUAAUUGGUUCAUCAUUUAAUUUUUUUUUUAAAUAAAAAAAAAUUAAAGACCAAAAAAUGUCCCAGCCGAUAAUCAUGCCCUAACGGAAAAUAUUAACGACGUCUGACAAUAGGUCAAAAACGUGGUGGUGAAACCGUUGUGCAAGGAGCAAAUGAUACCGACUGUUAACGGAAGUCUUCCCGGUCCAACUAUAAACGUUAGAGAAGGCGAUACUCUCGUGGUCCAUGUCAUCAACAACUCAACUUACAAUAUAACCAUCCACUGGUAACAUAUUGAUCUUGAUAUUAUUUCAUCACAAAACAAUGAGUUUUUAUUUUAUUGUCUGAUCAGUAAGAACAAUCUGUUUAUGGCACACAAAUAUAAUAAUCUAGGCAUGGAGUGUUCCAGCUGAAAAGUCCAUGGAUGGACGGUGCGAAUAUGAUAACUCAAUGUCCGAUUCAACCACGUAAUAACUUCACCUAUCGAUUUGAUAUCACCGGGCAGGAAGGUACUUUGUUAUGGCAUGCACACGUCGUUAAUCUACGUGCCACACUUCAUGGGGCUCUAAUCAUCCGUCCUAGAUCAGGUCGUCCUUAUCCUUUUCCUAAACCCUACAAGGAAGUUCCCCUCAUUUUUGGUAAGAUUUUUGUUGUUGUUUUUUUCCUAAUUUCCGAAUAAAAUUAAGAAACAAAAACGGAUUUUUUUUUUUUUUAGAAAAUUCUCCGUUUCUUAUUCUUUCAAUUAAUUCUGCCUUUAUUUUUUUUAAUUUUUUUUAAUUUUGCCUUUAUAGUUUCAAAGUAUAAAUAAUAAGAAUUAAGAAUUAAAAUUGUAUGAUGAUAAAUUUGAUAAAUUUAUUUAUCACUCAAACUCAGGCAAUGGCCGAUGAACUUUAUUUUUAUACUGAAUUAUGUAAUAACAAAAUAUUUGUAAGCAAAUUUAUUUAUUUUAAAUGUAUUUAAACAUAUUUUGUAUUUUUCAAACUGAUUUUUGGGGGAUAAAAUAUAAGAGAGCGUGUUGAUGUUAGUAGUAUGACUAGGUUGGUUUGGAUUUUGUAAAUAGCAUAUAAUACUUCUUUUUACGCCAAGCCAAGAUUUUCUAAGAAACAAAAUCUUUGUAGUUAUCAAAUACUGACAUAUAUUAUUAUCCUGUUACUGAAAGUGUUAAUUAAUUUGUUUGGGAAAAAUGAUUAUGCAAGAACAAUGGUGGGACGUAAAUAUUGAACUUCUCAAUUUACAGCCAGCUCCUAUUUGCGAUGCCUACCUCAUCAAUGGGCUCGCUGGAGAUUCAUAUCCUUGCUCUAAGAACAGUAAUACUCAUUCUUUACGUAAAUCAAAAGAUAAAAGAACCGCUUGCAGAAAAAUUGAUGGGUUUCUUUUUUAUCGGCGUCGGUAGGAAUGUUUAAGCUCAAGGUAGUACAAGGGAAAACAUACUUGCUAAGGAUUAUAAACGCGGCGCUCAACACUCACCUCUUCUUCAAAAUAGCUGAUCACAACGUGACAGUUGUCUCUGUAGAUGCUGCCUACACGAAACCUUACGUUAGCGAUGUGAUGAUCUUGACGCCGGGACAAACCGUCGACGCACUUCUCACCGCCGACCAGCCUAUCGGCAUGUACUAUAUGUCGAUAAGCCCUUACAUUAGUGCUAACUCGUUAGCACCGGUCCCCCCUGGCCAUGAUAUUAGAAGCUUAAUAGUCUAUGAGGGUGCCAAGUCGACAGCAUCCCCAUCGAUGUCGUUGCUGCCUUCAGGGACGAAUGCAAUACCCACCGCUCAUAGGUUCUCCUCGAACAUCACUAGCCUCGUGGGUGGACCCUACUGGACGCCAGUGCCUGAACACGUGGACGAGAAGAUGUUCGUAACCAUGGGGCUUGGCUUAGACCCGUGCCCUCCGGAAACCACGUGUAAUGGUCCGUUAGGUCAGCACAUCGCUGGUUCUUUCAACAACCGUACUUUUGUGAUGCCAGAAACGAUUUCACUCCAAGAAGCCUAUUUCUAUAAUAUCAGUGGAGUAUACACCGAUGACUUCCCCGACCAACCUCCCAUGAAAUUUGACUAUGCUAAUUUCAGCGUCCGUACAGAGUCUGACUACGAAAUGAUGUUUCCGGAGAGAAAGACUAGCACCAAGACACUCAAAUUUAAUUCUACAGUCGAGAUAAUUGUGCAAAACACUGGGAUAAUCAGCCCAGAGAGCCAUCCCAUGCACCUUCAUGGCUUCAACUUUUAUGUGUUGGGUUAUGGAUUUGGUAACUAUGAUCCCAUCCUCCAUGCAAGAAAUCUAAACCUAGUUAACCCGCAGAUGCACAAUACCGUCGGUGUACCACCAGGUGGAUGGGUUGUUUUAAGAUUCAUAGCCAAUAAUCCUGGUAAAAACAUUUUUAUUUUACAAAAAAUAAUAUAAUAGAUUGUCUAUAUACCAACUGUUUAUAUAUAAAUGGAUGGCUUAGGUUGAAAAAUUUAAUGUUGUAUCUGUGCAGGUACAUGGAUGUUCCACUGUCACAUGGAUGCACAUUUACCAUACGGAAUUAUAAUGGUUUUCAUAGUUGAGAAUGGACCAACUCCGGAAACAAGCUUGCAGCCUCCACCGUCAAAUCUUCCACAAUGCACUCAUGAUCCGACAAUCUAUGAGUCGCCGACCACUAACGUUGAUUUGUCUUCCUAGAAGUUAACUAUUAAUCGUAGUUGAUUCUUGAGUUUUGGCAUUUUAACUGAGGGGUGAUGUAGAGAUAUUUUGUCAAAAAGCACCUAAAUUUGAGAGACUUGAUUUAAAUUUGAGAGUUGGCAACUGGAGACGAUGCUUUCAAGUAUUGUUGGGUACAGUCGUCUCUUAACUGAUUGAUUGUAGCUUCAAAUCUUACUUGGUUAGAUAGUAAGGAAUUAUAUUCAAACUCUAAAAGGGAGAGACUGCAUGCAUGUAAUUGAUGGUAACUUUGAAAUAGCGUGUAUUUAUAUUUUAUACUAUAUACAUUCAUUAUAUUCUGAAUAUAUAUGGUUGUAUGUGUUUUGGUUUCCUUGAGACAACACAAAAAAAAGAGUUUCAAAGAAAGAAAGACGACCACUAGAUAACUCCUCCCCCCUCUCUCUGUGUCCCGGAACUUGUGGGUUUUAGACUCUACCAACGGGAGAUAGAGGCGGAGCAAACGGGGAUGAAGAUCUUCCGGUGGUCUUUGACAUCGUUUCCUCCUCAGAGUCAGAGGCACACGUUAUAACCGUCACGCACACAAAAAACGCUUGUAAAGGAGAAAGAAACGAACCAAACUCCACCCUAUACAUCCCUGUCUUCAGCUCUGUCAUGGCCAAAACCGGAACCGAGUCUUGAUCACUUUCUUCCUGCAAUGAAAACCCCGAGUACCUCUUUUCAAGAACUGUUCGAUUUUGGGAAAAUCUUAAGAGACUUAUGUUAUGUUUAAUGUUUACUUACCUGAUCAAACAGUUUUAACUAUUAAUCGUAGUUGAUUCUUGAGUUUUGGCAUUUUAACUGAGGGGUGAUGUAGAGAUAUUUUGUCAAAAAGCACCUAAAUUUGAGAGACUUGAUUUAAAUUUGAGAGUUGGCAACUGGAGACGAUGCUUUCAAGUAUUGUUGGGUACAGUCGUCUCUUAACUGAUUGAUUGUAGCUUCAAAUCUUACUUGGUUAGAUAGUAAGGAAUUAUAUUCAAACUCUAAAAGGGAGAGACUGCAUGCAUGUAAUUGAUGGUAACUUUGAAAUAGCGUGUAUUUAUAUUUUAUACUAUAUACAUUCAUUAUAUUCUGAAUAUAUAUGGUUGUAUGUGUUUUGGUUUCCUUGAGACAACACAAAAAAAAGAGUUUCAAAGAAAGAAAGACGACCACUAGAUAACUCCUCCCCCCUCUCUCUGUGUCCCGGAACUUGUGGGUUUUAGACUCUACCAACGGGAGAUAGAGGCGGAGCAAACGGGGAUGAAGAUCUUCCGGUGGUCUUUGACAUCGUUUCCUCCUCAGAGUCAGAGGCACACGUUAUAACCGUCACGCACACAAAAAACGCUUGUAAAGGAGAAAGAAACGAACCAAACUCCACCCUAUACAUCCCUGUCUUCAGCUCUGUCAUGGCCAAAACCGGAACCGAGUCUUGAUCACUUUCUUCCUGCAAUGAAAACCCCGAGUACCUCUUUUCAAGAACUGUUCGAUUUUGGGAAAAUCUUAAGAGACUUAUGUUAUGUUUAAUGUUUACUUACCUGAUCAAACAGUUUGAAGCUAUGGUCCAACUCAUGGAGGAGUGUUUUGUUGGAUAGGACAUGGAGUUUACAUCCGACAUCCCAGCCACCGCAGUCGCAUAACCCUCCGGAUCUCCACCGGGUAACCAAAGGUGUCGGUGCUCCUUUCACCGGGAAACUGUGAACCCCGCCUGGAAUGAUCACAGUGGUUUCCUCGAGGGCGUUCAAGUUUUCUUCGGCAGGCUUCUUCUUGAUCACUACAGCUGCAAACUCUUUUCUCCCUUUUACUUGCUCCUCUGUUUCAUCAAAGAGAACUGCUUCUCUGAUGAUACAAGAUACGUUCUUCUCUUUAAUAUCUGAGCUCAUGGAGUUAUUACAUAACCGCAUUUGGCCGAUCACAGUGUAGACGAACCCGCGUUGUUGUUUCUCUUUGUGUCCAUGGAUUAGCCAGCUUCCGCUUCUCUUCUUCUUUUUGACUUCAUCAACAGAGUAGAAUGUGCAGUACUGAACAGAAUCAUCUUUGAACGAUGAAUCAGAGUUUUUCAUCGUAGCCCCGAGAAUGCUCCUCCUGCUGUUGUUGUUGAGGUUGUCAUCAUCCACCACAAACUGAAAUAGAGGGACGCCGUUUCUGUUGGUUAGCUGAAGAAGAGCUCGGGUUCUCCUCGAUGUAUCCUGCUUCUUUUCAUCCAUGUCGGUUGGCUUUGGAUUGGAACAAGUUGAUCUUUCUUCUUUUGAUGGAAGAACAUUUUCAGAGCCUUUAGAUUUCAGUAAAGGGUCAAGCAGCCUUCUUAGAGGGCUGACUCGAGAUGAUCCACGGUGCUUACUUGACUGAGGUGGACAAGCUGAACCAUCACAUCUCAUAGAGUCAGACUUGAUGGCAUCAUUUGAAGAAGAAGUCAAAGGUUGGCGACCAGCUGAUGAAUCCUCUUUGAAGGUGUGACUUCUGCUGAGACGACCGAAGCUAAAACUAAACCGCUUGCUAUGUGUGUUCUUUUCUUGUCGAAAUUCUUGAUCAAAUAUCCUCGAAGAAGCUGGCUUUGAAUGACUUGUUAACCCACAAAAACGUUCCUUUUUACAAGAAAGAUCAACACCAAGACGCAAAUCUUCAGAAUCUCUCUCCAAGUGAAAAGAGAGUGGACAUGAAGGAGGAGGAACUUGAGAUGUCAAUCCUAAAGAGCUGCUGAUCCCGUCUGAAAAGAGGCUGCUAACCUCCCUUGUUACUUUCAAGUUAUCAUUAGAGUCUCCAAGGGUCUUCUCCUCUCCAACUAACUUCUCAGCACAUUGUUUCCCGCUUUCUCUUGCUUCUUCUUGUGCUCUCUUCUCAGACUCCUUCUUAUACCUGAUCACCAAGUUUCCCUUUGGGCCUAGAGAUCCAUUGGAGUUGCCCAUCUCCUGCUUAUUAAAAGCAUCCCGAGAAGCUGCUUUAACUUUACCGAGAAGAGAAGAAGCAUGCACUUGGUCAUCAACCUUACACCUAUGAUGACGAUAUUGAUGAGAAGAGGAGGAGCCCCCAUUGGGAACCGUUCCUAGAGUAGUAGUAGUAGAAGACACUUUACUCUCACGUUUGCUUGAUCUUCCACCGCCUUUCCCUCGACCACGCUGCUUCCAUUUCUCGAGACGACCCCAAUCCAAGACUCCAACAUUCAAAACAUUGCUUUCCUCUUCUUCUCCUUGGAGAUAACCUGGCAACUUUGACAUGUAUUUCACAACCUCAUCAACUUUGACACGCUCUUCCUUUCGAGUAUGGCUCCAACGUUUUGUUCUCUCUCUGAGAUGGGUUCUUGUACCCAUUUGCAUCUCUACACACAAACACACUAGUCAAAAUCAUAUCAACUCUGUAUAAACUUAAUUCGCCAGAGAUUUGGAUAAUUCAAUUCAACUCAAAUGUUAUCGAAAGCAAUGAUCUUUGAAGCAAAUACAUUGGAAGCAGCAUUCUAUUGAAGAGAGAGAGAGAGAGAGAGAGGUAAGGGAACAUACCAAGCUUGGCACUCGAAUCUACUUAUAAAUUAACCCAACAUUUCACGAUUUCAUCAAAAUCAAACUCGAUUUGGUUUGCUGCUCAUAUCCUCGGGGCAAAAGGGAACAACGUGAAGUGGAAGCAAAAUCAACACCACGAAGCACAAUCUUCCAUUCACGGAAACCAAGAAAGUUUGUGUGAUCCCAGGGAGACUCAAGAGAGAGAGAGAGAGAGAGAGAGAGAGAGAGAGAGAGGAAGGAAUCGGAAGUUGCAGAGAAUCUCUCGCCGCUUAGAGUAAGACGAAGACAGAGAGAGAGAGAGAGAGAUGGCUUCCUGUUGGGGAUCGUACGGUCAAGAUUUAAUAUUAAUAAAGCGAUCGUAUGGUCUGUAAUUUAUUAGGUCGGGCCCAUUAAGAGUCUUCCGUUUUUUUUUAGAGCGAAACGGAACGGACCCACUCGUAGGCUGACGUCAGACGCAUAGGUUUCUUUAUCUAUUAUUCACCCGUUUUUUCCCCCUUUCUUUAUUAUUUGUCCGUUACGGCUUUACAAGAAGUUUUCAAUCAUCUUCGCAAAUAAUAAAUAUAUAAUGUGAUCACCAGCUAAAAUCAAUCAAUUUUAUAUGUUUUUUUAAUUUAUUCUAGUUUCAAUUAUGUGCCAUUUUUUUUUUUUUACCAGUGUAUCGUCUCAUCAAUUUUAGGUUCUCUCCUUUUACUCUGUCCUCUCUCUAAAUCUGACACAGAGGAAAGAUUGAGAAGAGACCUCUACCGGAGUUUCUAACAGUUUCAUCUCCGGUUAGUAAGCUUGUUUCAGGGAAACGGUGUUUCUAUUUAUACCGCUAUCGCCAGCUUCUGUUUCCGGGGAAUGGAAGCUCUGACAUCACCGAUUUCGCCGGCUUUCGUCUUCGGGAAAGCGGUGGCUCUGAUAGCACCGUUCUUUCGCCGGCUCCUUCUCCGGUUUGAUCUGGAAUCAAGUUCUCGUUCUACGCUCUUGCUCUUUCUCUGUUCAAUCGACUCUCGAUCUGAAAAUCUGUUUGGAUUUUUUGGAUCGAUGGAAGAUGAUUGUUGUUCUUCAAAGCGUGGAUCUAUGGUGUUUGAGAUCUAUAGGUUUUCAUCGGUUUUAGGCUCCAAGGUGGAGCUGGGUCGCGCUUUUGCUCUGACCCCGGCGGAAGCUGUUGUACUCUUCUGGUGGAGGUCUGAUUAUUGCGGCGAUGGAGUUUGCAUGCCGAUGAAGGGGUGGGGCUUCGAUCUUAGGACACGUACCCCUCUGAUGGUGUUCCGGUCAAGACGUGACGGCCUGGUGACGCAUGUCUCUCACAGUGAGGAUUACGACACAUGUCAUGUUCACGCAUCUCGCGGAAAGGAAGAGGCGCCUUUCUGGGUUAGGAAGAUGGGCUUAGGGCCCAAUAAGUUUACGGUUUGGUUAGCCCUAGUGUGUUUGAGCUUCAUGGUUGUAUCGUUGUUUACGUUUUGAGCUUGGUCUUUUGGGUAUUGUCUUUUUAAUAAAUUUUAGUUGGCAAAAAAAAAAAAAUGUGACUCUUUUUUAAAGUUAAACUUUUUUGCACAUGUUUCCCACCACGAUCAACAGCAUUACAUCAUUAUCAUAUCAAACAUAUAUUAUUGUUAUCAUAACAAAGUGUUUUUUUUGCAUGAGGAGCAUAUUGGAUUUUGAUUUUUUUACUAAAGAUAUGUUUAUUUCGUCAAUAAAGCAAAAGGACUUCUACUUUCUCCUCAUUUCAUGAUGGCAUGUAAACUUAAGCUCUUACACAUAUUUUGACUAUUAUAAACACAUGAGUUAUGGACCUCUUUUGGUUGGCUGUAGCCUGUACGUGCUUUUGUAGUUAUAAAUUACAUCAGUUGUAUAACCUGUACGGACUUUAAGAAAUGGUAUAAGCAACAUAAACCUACAUACAUAUAUAAUAUUAUCUAACAUGAUACAAUCUUUCCAUUCCGCCUGUGUUAGAAUUUCAUCUAAUCAAUAUGAUUGAACUAUAUAAAAUAAAAACACUCAAUAAGGUGCAUGAUCAGAAAUUAUAUAUACUUGAAUUUUGUCUUGAAAAAUCUAGAGAUAAAGUGAUUGAUAUACUUUUCAUUAUUCCCGUAAUCAAAUCACAAUCAAAAGUUUGAUGAUCAAUAUUUAGACUACUACAUAAUGUCAUAUAAUAUAAUAAAAGUUAAGAUCACUCAUCGUCUUUAUAUAAAGGAAACAACAACAACAAAGUAUUUGUAUGCUUUGAUCCAAAAAUAUUUGUGAUAACUUUGCAAUUUAGACUAAUCAUGUUACAUUGAGAAGCAGUAGCUUUCAAGUUUAAACAAAAUUUCCAGCUUGAACAAAAAAAAAAAAAAAAAAUUUCCAGCUGUUUUUGCAGUGUUGGGUUCAGUCCUGGGUCCGAGAUCUACAACACUAGAGAACAAACAAAUUAGAGCAAUGGACACGCCAACGAAUUCAUUUCGUUGUUAUGUAUUAGUAUUAGUGAUCCUCAAAAUUCACUAUAUUUACUUUUUGUCAUUGCUUGAUUUUUCCAGGCAACAACCCAUGACCAGCUGCAUGUAAGUACAUGGACGCAUGUCACGCAUCAGUAGUGGUUUUAAUGGCCUUGCUUGGCCACAUCAAUGGUCAAUGUAUAUUGGAUAAUUAUUUUGAUUUGAAUUGGUAUCGUUCUAAUUGUGUAAAAUAUUAGACACACACGGAUUGCUUAUUUUCGGACAUGUUUUGAGUGUCGUAUCUCAUAUGUUACAUAUAUAUUCUGAUAGUAUAUCAAGUACUAAAUUGGUGAAUUUGCAAAAAGUUCAAUCACUACGAUUGAUAUACAAAUCAUUCACUAAGCAAACAACAUUGUUUCGUUAUUUCUCUGUGGAGGUGAGUUGGAUGAUUGCGCCAAUGGAUAAACCCAUAGUGACAUAUUAGUAAAGCAGUGGAUGGUAGCCCAACGAGAAAUUCUUUUUAGGCAAACGAAAGAAAUAGAAGCGUAUAAAGAACUAGUACAACUCUCAGUGGCUUGUUUCGACCAAAAAAAAAAAAAUACUGGCUCGCUUCGGUCCAGACAGUAAUCAAGCGAUAUACGCCCUGAAGAACUUUAUAGUCCUUAUUUGAAAAUGCUUACUACUUUUGUCUUUCUAUUAAGCAAAAAAAAAAUAUAAAUCUUUUAUAUAUUAAAAUAGAAGUCACAACCUUGAUUCAUGUGUGAUUUUUUUAAAAAUUGGACCUAAUGGACCUAUUCCUAGAAAAUCAUGUUACAUUUAAUAUCUAAUCUUAUCAUUUUAAUUUUGGGCCUACAAGAAAUGUUUAUUGGGCUAUUAAUAAUUGGAUUUAAACAAUAGAUGAUCCAUUGGACUUAUAGAUAAUAUAAAUUAAAUAGAUAUAAUUUAAUGUUGUAAUACUAUACCUCUAUAUGCUAAAUAUUUAAAUAUUUGUCGAUGUUAACUUUUAAAAUUAUAAAAAAAAAAUUUGAAAACAAAAUAUUUAUAUAAAAAUAAAUGAAAACAAAAACCCGCACAGUUGCGCGGAUCGAAAUCUAGUAAAUCUUAGAUCAAGAAUUUCUUCUAAAUAAGAACUUUGAUUAUGGAUACAUUUAUACAUGAUACCAAUUGCAAUUAUACAUAACUGUCUCCUUCAAUAUUUACCUUUUUUGUCAACAAAGUU
rnacentral:lncRNA from 1 species